GGAAAUGGAAUUGGAGAGUCAUCCCCAUAGAACUCUGAACCCAAUCUCUUUACUCUACUCACUCCACGCACUGUAAGAUGCUUUAGAGAGGGCAGUUGCCCGACAGACGGCAGGGCAGUACACAUGCCGCAAUCUUCAAAUUCAAGUGUUACUAAAUUUGAGAAUAAGGAAUCUCCUAACCAUGUUGGAAAUUUUGUACCUCCAUAGCCACAGAUACCAAAUUGUUCCAGAUUUUUAUGGGGUUUGAGCAUGUCAAGCACACCCAUUUCAGUUUCUGCCUCCCUUGAAGAUGAACCAUCGGUACUGCGUGUCCAUCGAAGCAAUAAUUCUUUAAGAUUCUUCUUUCCAUCCAACCGAGCCUCCUUCGCAUUACCAACGUCUUUUACGUUCUCCAAUUUUGAAAUUUCAAGUGCCCCACGAAGAUGCAUCAACAACUUUAGCUCUGAUAACCCCGAACCACUGUCUUUUCCCACAACAAAAUUACACAACGUCUGAAGACAAGUCAACUUGCCAAUUCCUAGUGGCGUUUCCUCCAACGAAUCUGUAUUUGAAUUAUUGAGAUGAUGCAAUUUGAUGAGAUUUCCCAUGUCUGCACACAACUUCUUCAGCCGAUCACAAUCUUCCAACAAAAGACUAUGCAAAUUGUAAAGCUUGUUGACUGAUUCAGGCAGAGUUCUAAUAUUAGUUCCAGACAGGUUAAGGUACCUUCAAUACCUCAAAUCACCAACUGAAUCUGGUAGCUCGGAGAUGUGAUAUCCACGCAAAGAGAAGACCCUCAAGCGUUGGAGUUUGAGCAACUUAGGAAGAAUGCUAGGAGCCAAGUAGCCAGGCGAACUCUCUGUCAACAUUACUGGUAAAAAAGUUCUCAAAUGUUGGAUAUCAUACAAGUCCCCAAACCUUUUACCGCCAACAUAAUAUUCAGGAAUAUAUGACAGAUGACGAAGAUAUCGGGAAAAACUUUGUUGCUUGUUAACCUCAGAGGUAUACUCCAUUGUGAAGUAUAUUUCCCCUGCAGCCCAAUGCGCAAGGUCGUUGAUAAGAUCGUGCAUCACAAAUCGUGAUGCAUCGUUGCUUGAUUGCUGGAAAAAGGAUCUUGAAUGUAGCUCCUUAAAGAUUUCAAGACCUAAAUCUUCACCAGUUUUCUCACGCUCUUUGCGAUCCAAGAAGCCCGAGGCACACCAUAACAAAAUUAUCUCCCCCUCUUCAAAUUCAUAAUCCUUUGGAAACAAUGAGCAAUACGCAAAGCAUUGUUUCAAAGGUGCCGAAAGAUAAUAGUAGCUCACUCUAAGCGCCGGCAUAAUGUCACAUCUCUCUUCUUGCAAUUCCCAUAUCUUGGUACUGAGCACUCUCUCCCAAUCACAUCUGUCAUCUUUUCCUCGCAAAAGUCCUCCAAGUGUUUGCGCUGCCAAGGGCAAGCCAUCGCAUUUGGCCACUAUCUUCUUGCCAAUUUCCUCCAAUAAGUUAUCUGACCCCAAAGAAUGUUGAGCAAAUACAGCUAGACAAUCAUCAAUUGACAACUUUUUUAAUUGAUAAGCUGAGGCAGUUCCCAUGAUGUCUGCAACCUCUUGAUUACGAGUUGUGACAAUAAUCUUACUUCCCUUCGCUCCAGCUUCAAACGGACGGCUGAGGCGAACCCAAUCAUUGUAAUUCUCAUUCCAAACGUCGUCUAAAACAAGCAAAAAUUUCUUUUGAGAUAACUUCUUCUUCAGCUCCUCUUGAAGCAAAUUUAAAUCACUGUCAUCAAUAGUCUGCUUGGUAACGGAUCUUAGAAUUGUUUUUGUUAGCCCCUUAACGUCGAAAUCCUCAGAGACACAAGUCCAUGCCUUGAGAUCAAAAUGAUCCCGCACUUGCUUAUCAUUGUAGACAAGCUGAGCAAGAGUAGUUUUGCCCAGCCCGCCCAUACCUAUAAUAGGAAUAACUGCGAAUCCACCAUCGUUGCUUAAAUCAUCCCUCAACAGCAGUUCAACAACAUCCUUCUUUUCUGUUUCCCUGCCAUAUACUUUGGCUUCAGUCACUAAAGAGGUUGUCUCUAGCCUUUGACUGGCUUUUUUGGACCCUCCAGCUGAACUUUCUUUCAAAUCUAGCAAGUUUUUCUGUGUCACAAUUUCUUGAAAUCUGCUGUUGAUCUCUUUGAUUUUGGACAUCAAGCCAUAAUCGAACUGAAUCGAUUGUGGAGUAAAAGUGGUGCAGCAAGUAGGAAUGAGCUUCCGAAACUUACUUGUUCUUGUACGACUGCUACUGGGUUGAUCAUGAGCAGCAGCUGGUUCUCCAUUCCCAAGCAGCAACCUCCUCCGGAAAGCCUCAGUUUGAAACUCAUCCAACAAGUCUUCAACAUCGUAAGCCAAGUUCUGAAGCUUGCCAAGCCACUUCUUCACAAACUGAUUAGUCGUCUUCUUCUCCUCAGCAUCAUCAAGCACCGCCUUGAUCAUCUCCAACAUAUUCUCCCACUUCAUUAGAUCGUCUUGGAUCUUCUCUUGGCGUGCAAAAAACAGAAUCCCCUCUGAAGCUAACUUAUUGACCAGCAAAUCAACGGACGCCGUAAGGAUUGCCUCUCCGAUGAUCGACAUUUUUUUUUCUUUUUUUGGGCAAAGGAAGAAAGGAGCAGAAUUAUGGGUUAUGGAAAGCAGAAUGAGAAUAUUGAACGGGUGAGAAAAUGGAUAAUUAAGCGGAAUGAGUUUGUGAUUGUGAAGGGUCUGGUUCAGCAAGCUUAGUAGAAAUCACGCGUUUGUACUUUAUUGACCAAUGACUAAAUAAUUUGGCAAUGCACCCACCACCACCAGUUGGCGAGCAAAAUGAAAAAGUUUAAUAAGUGCAGGGGUCGAGCAAAAUACGACGUAAAAUGUGGCAAGUCUCCCCACUUGUUGUUCCUUGCAGCUAAGAAAAGAAAAAACAGAGCCCACCACCCAUUAAUAAUUUAGCAAUUCACCAAUCAUCACAAAAUUCCAUUAGAUAUUCGUCGAUCAAGUAGUUAAGUAUUUUUGCUAGAAUGAAUGCAACCAAGAUUCUAUGGGAUAUGUAUGAAGAUGAUGUAAUAAAGUGCUUUUGAUAUAUUCCCCUAGUCGGUUUACUUCACUAACCAUUAACGAGCAAAUCCUCCCAAUGACCCUCAAUACUCUUGUGCACAAUUAAAAUAAUUUCAAUUAUAUAUAUAUAUAAAUAAAAAAACUCUCAAAUAUAUUAUUUGAUAAUCACCAAAAAAAAAAAAAUUCACCCCAAUAAAUCACAUUACAGUCUAUGUUGCAAGUGUUUUUAGGACUAAUUCAAAGAGAAAAUGCGAAGGACAUGUAAUUGAAUUUGGGACACUGAAUAUAUUCCCAAUUACCCUUUAGUGUAAAUAGUUCCACUUCAGAUAUAUAUAAUGAUGAUGAAAUUUUGUUUUCUCAUAGCAAUCAUUCUAGUGUUUUACAAUGAGUAAUUGAUUCAAUAUUAACACAACACUAUUUUAACAUGUGACAUAUUCUAUCAUAGUGUGCUUCAACUCAGACUUCUAAGUUUCCAUUUUAGAACAAGUUAAAACAGUUCCAACUCAAAAUCAGUAGUGCGCAAUUGGGUUGUUAUAAAUAUUUCUAAAUUUUAGUCUAAUUUGAAUUAUUUAAUUGUGUUUGUACAAACUAGCUUUAUCACUUCUUUUAUAUUGAUACCCUUAAAUUUCAACCUUAUUUUAUGUUGAUGCACAAUCUAACUUAACAAAAAUAAUAUUCAAAUUGUCACAAUUUUUUUUUUUAAAAAAAAUAUACAAAGUUAAUUUUUCUUCUUCUUUACUCUAGGAUCCAGCUCCAUACCCCUCUUUUUUGUCGUUAUGCUACUCAGCCGUUAGAUUUUAAUUACGUUAAUCUAAUGGUUGGGAUUUGCAAAUGAAUAAUGAAGUGGUGUUCGGCUACUAUCCGAGGCCAUUGCAUCUAAUUGGUUUUGUGAUUUUUCACUUUCUUCCCUGUAACACUUGACUAGUUCUGGAAAUUGCUUUUUGGCAUGCUAAUUGUUGUGAAAAUUUUAAUAUACUCGCAAGCGCACGAAUCUAGAAAUAAAAUAGUGGUAACGAGGUCGAUCCCACAGGGAUUGGCACCCAUCACGCCUUUAGUUGUCGUGAAUAAAUCGAAAAUCAAAUUGAACUGGUUUUUACCGGGUAGCAACAAUCGUGACGUUUUGAGAUUAUAAUAUAUGACAACACUGAUUAGUGUUGUCUCCCAUGUGAAUUGAGACAAAAAUGAUUUUCCCAAUUGCGCUUUCAUUUGAACAAUUCCACUGUAGAUUUAUAAAAUAAUCACGAAAUUGUGUUUUAUAAUAAGUUACGAGUAAUUGGUUCAAUAUUAAUACAAAACUACUUUAAGUAACACGUGGCAUAUUCUAAUUCUAGCAAAGUUUCCAACUAAGAUUCCCAAAUCAAAAGAAUUUCAAUCUCCAGAACAUUCUACAAAAUGUUUCUUCUAGCCUCUACGUUGUGCUAGAAUUUUCUCUUGAGUUUUUUAGCAAAGACUUCUAAAGAACUAUCCAGAUAUCGAGCUAUAAUCCAGUCAAAGUGUAUAUAUUUCUCUAAUUCACCUCCCUCCAUUUCACCAGAAAACCAACAAACACUUAGCUUCAAACAAACACUUUCAAAUAGCUAGCUAGCUACCCAGAUGGCAAAAUCAAGAAUUCUUGCAAUGACAAUGUUGUUUCUUGUUGUGGCGGCAACAUUGAUGAACAUGGCAUCACAAGCAAAUGCUCUGAUGCCGUACACACGAUCACCUUUCUUUGACAUGAUGUUCCGAAUGACGAAAGAGCCUUUCAGGGUUCUUGAACAAACCCCUUUAACAAUCGCAAAAGGAGCUGAUCAUCAUCAAACUCUAGCCCUGGCGAGAGCAGACUAGAAGGAGAGUGGAUGGAGCCUUUACUUUCUAUUAUAUUUGUAAAGCGUGCCACAACACACGUGAUCACACUCGACAUUCUCGGAAUUAAGAAAGAUGAUGUGAAGAUUGAAGUUGAAUAGAACAGGGUAUUGAGAGUAAGUGGGCAGAGGAAGGCUGAUGAUUAUUAUAAGGAGAGGGUUGAAGGAGAGAAAUGGCACAGAGCUAAGAGAGCAUUUGGCAAGUUUUGGAGGCAGUUUAGGAUGCCAAUGAGUGCUUGACUUGGAUCAUAUUAAGGCUCACUGAGUGCCAAAGCUUGCUGAGGAGAUGAAGAGGCAGCCGAAGGCUAUUAACAUUGAUGAAGAGUCUGGUAAUUCUUCCAAUGAAGAUAUUAAGGCUACCAAGGCUCAAAUGUAAUUGAUUAAAGAAAGAAGUGAUUGCUUUGCUUGAUGUGCUAUUUGUUUAUGAUCUUUUUUUGGUUUUGUUGUGAGAUGUUUCUCUAUGGACGCUUUGUUUAAUGUAUUUUGAUGGGUUUUUUAGGAUGGCUUGUAUGUAUUGACAACAAUAAAGUGCUUUUUAUAAAUCCUAGUCCUACAACACUAAAAGAAAUUAAUACUCUUGGUUUAUAAUUAAUAAAAAUAUAUAUUUUUUUUAAAAGUCUUUUUCUUUGGCAUAUAGUAUGCGUUUUGAGGGGAAAAAAAUUUAUCCCACUCCUAAUUCGUCCUCUUCUGUGAUAUUAAUGUGUUAACACGAAGAUUCAUUGUAAUUGCAACAAUUUUGACGAAUCCAAACGUUCAAUAACUGUUAAAUUGUAUUUAUAAAUACUAAUAGCGAAGGUACAGAAACGAUUAAUUCAAGAAGUUGCUUAAAGUGCAUUAAAUUAGGGAGUAUAAAUAAUUGUGUGAUACAGUCCAGCCUUCAUCUGCUUAUAAUUAGCAACCAAAAACCACUUUGCAACACCAUUAAAAAAACAUUUUAACAUUAUUGCUGAGGGAAGAGGCAACUUAGGCUUAUUAACUCGUAUUAUUAAUGCUGAUGACGCAGCUGGUAAUCCUUUUGGUGAAUAUAUUAAGGCAGCUGAAGCUUAAAAUUAAUUAAGCCCACUAAAGCUUAAAACUAAUUCUUCUAGUGACGAUGCUUUGCUUAGUUCGCUUUUUGUUUUUAAUUUUUUUGGGGCUAACGUUUUGCUUAUUUUGCUUUUAAAAUUCUAUUGGCGUUGCUGUGGAAUAUUGUUUCUCCUUCGAUUUUCUGUUUUUGUUGUUAUCGGAUUUGAUGAUGGUUUAUAUGUACGAAGAUUAUGUAAUAAAGUGCUUUUGUAACAAUAUAUAUAUAUAUAUAUAUAUAGAUGUUUCAACAGCUAAGAAAGAGAUAGCCAUUAUACAUUACACAUUUGUACUCAAUAAGAAAUCAAUUCAUUAAUAUAGCCAUUAAUACGCCUGGUUUAUUGUUAAUGAAAAUUAAAAAAGAAAAAAAAAUCUUUUUCUUUGGCCUUUAGUAUGCAUUUUAAGAGGAAAAAAAAUUUAUCCCACUUCAAUUCAUGAAGAUAUUUUCAUUUCUGUCAUAUUGAUGUGUUAAUAUGAAGAUCCAUUGCAGUUGGUGAAUUCAAAUAUUCAGUAACUGAUGAAAUUAUAUUUAUAAAUUCAUACUAAUAACGAUUGAAGAUUAUAAUUAAUUUUUUAAUAUGGUCCAGCCCUCGUGUGUUUAAUUAGCUCUCAAAAACCACUAAGGUAAAGGCAAAAUCAUGAUAAAUUGUGGUCGGUUUAAUUUACUUGAUCAAUUGAUAUUGGGUAGCAUUGUUCUUAUACAAACACAAUAAAAGAAGAACACUAACGUACUAAUUAAUUACAAAUAAGAACAUUAACAAUUUUGCCGAAGUCUGAUGAAGAGAAAUAUUACACAUAUGUAACCGUACAACUAAAUAAAAGAAACUGAAGUUUAUUUCAACAGCUAAGAAUGAGAUACGCAUAAGAAAUUAAUCUAUUAAUUAAUUAAUUAAUUCAUACAAUUUUCAACUGAGAUUUGAAUUUUAAAAUUACAUACACAAACACACCUGAUUUAAAAGAAAAAAAUUUUAAUAAUAAAAUAUUUUACGUAUGUAACCAUACCGCGGAAAGAACAAAUGUAAGAAACUGAAGUUUCAACAGUUGAGAAUGAGAUAGGCAUAAGAAAUUAAUUAAUUAAUUAAUAGAGUCCUCCUCCUUUGCUAAAUAAUGCGAGCCCAUUGUUCCUUUUAUUUCGAAAACCCAUUAAUCAUCAACACAUACACGCCCAAUUUUAAAAAAAAAAAAUAAUAAUAAUAAAAUAUUUAAGUCGUCCUCUGUUCAAUAAUCAAAAACCCAUUUAAAAUCUAUUUUAACUUUAGGUAUAUGGGUUAACAAGUCCCAAUAUUGUCCUCCAUCUUUUCUGCACUUCUCUGCUAUCAACGGACAUCCCCCGAUGUAUAAUUGCAAAAGUGAGGAAGGCAGGCCCUUCUCCGGAAAGUAUUUGAGCUUGGGACAAUCCUCGAGUUCCAAGUGAGUGAGGUUUUGAAGAUCAACAAUUGAAGAAGAUAGGCGUUCCAGAUUUGGAAAAUUACCAAUCAUCAGGGAUGCUAGACAGGCAGGAAGAGGAAGCGUGGUCCUCAAUCUUAUGUCCUCCGGUGGGAAUGACACCAUGUCGUCAUCGCAUCCGCUGAUUGUAAGUUGUCGCAGAGAGGAGAAUCUGUGGAAUCCCCGACCCCACUCAAUCGUUGACUUCCAAAUCUUCUUAUUAUCAAUAAUCUCCAGCCUAUGAAGGUUGGUGGGAAGGCCAUCAUCUUCUUCAAGGCUUGGAAGCUCACCUCCUUCUCCUAUUGUUAAUUGUUGAAGAGAGGUCAGAUUGUGCAAUCCCUUGGGUAAGACCUGUAGUCUCUUACAAUAAGAUAUCUCUAGCCUCGUGAGUUUCGCACAAGGCAAUCCCCCUUGGGGAAAGGACACCAGAUUUUCACAUUCCCAUAUCCCUAUCUCUUGAAGCUGGCGGAGAUUAUGUAAACCACUCGGUAAAAUUUUCAGAUUUUCACACUCAGAAAUACUGAUUGUUUCAAGAGAUGUGUUGUUGUCCAACCUUUCUGCUAUUGACUCCAGCUCUGAACAACUCCAAACAUCAAGGGACUUAAGAGACGGAGGUAGAUUGCCAACUUCAAGGGACUCAAGCGUGGCAGGUAACUCGUUUUUUGAAAAUAUACACGUCAGUGACGGACACCUGCUAAUAUGCAAGCCCUCGAGAAGAGAUGAGGUGUACCUUCUGCUGCUGCUGCUGCUCUGGAUGCCCUCUUCCACCGUCAAAGUCCUUAUAUUAUCGCAAUGGCGGAUCUCCAACCACUUAAGGCUCGGUGGUAGUUGGACUCCAGCAAUAUAUGUCAACGAAUUGCAAAUCCAAAUCUCCAAGAUCUCGAGAGAUGAAUUGGUGUCGCACAUCCAUGCCUCUGGUAACGAUUUCAGUGCAUCACAUUCUCUAAUCUCAAUUUUCUUCAACUUGGAAGGCAGAGCAACCUCAGGAAAGGAAACAAGGGAACUGCAGCCGUAGAUUUCUAUCUCUCUCAAGGAGCUGAGGCUGAGAGGUGAUUGUGGCAGCUUCACAAGGUCUUGGCAAUCUCUCAAAUCUAUAUAUUCGAGUAUGCACGACAACUGGCAGAGCUGCUGUUGUUGGUCUUUCUCUUCCUCCGCCACCAAGGAUUGAAGUUUGGGACAACUUGUAAUCGUCAGUCUUUUGAGAGAGCAAAUGUCUUGCAGCAAUUCGUUAUGACUCUUCCAUAUAUAUGUCUGCUCUUUCAUAUCAUUUAUCUCCAAUUCUUCCAAUUUUGGUAUUCGCGGCUUCAAUGGCCCUGCGAGAAACACUUGAUUUGAUGUAUCUCUACAAACUACUGAAUUCUGCGAUCCGAGAUGACCAGUUGCACUUUCCCACACAAUCUUUUUGCAUCCACCAAUUAUGAAUUUGCAAAGAGAUGGAAGACUCGAAACUGAAACUAACAAUUCUUCACAUCCUUCAAUAACAAGCAUCUCCAAUGCAGGAAGGUGCUCUGGAAAUGUUCCUUUCAGUUUAGAACAUCUUAAAAUGUGAAGCUCUCUCAAUUUAGGAAACCGUUCAACUCCCUGACUGAAUCCAUGAGGAAUCCAGUCUUCCCAUCCUUGCAUGUCUUCAAAAUGAAGCGUCUCCAAGCAUGGAAAAGGAAUUGGAGUAUCAUUCCCAUAGAACUCUGAACCCAACCUCUUUACACUAGUCAUUCCACAUACUGCAAGAUGCUUUAGAGAGGGUAGUUGGCCGACUGACGGCAGGGUAGGACACAUGCCACAAUAUUCAAAUUUUAAGGUCACCAACUUUAAGAAUGAGGAAUCUCCGAACCAAGUUGGAAAUUUUGCGCCUCCAUAGCCGCUGAUACAAAAUUGUUCCAGAUUUUUAUGGGGUUCUAGCAUGUCAAGCACGUCCUUUUCAGUUUCCGCCUCCCUUGAAGACGAGCCAUCGGUACUGUUUGUCCACCGAAGCAUUAACACUUUAAGGUUCUUCUUUCCAUCCAAUUGAGCCUCCUUUGCAUCACCAACGUCUUUUACGUUCUCCAAUUUUGAAAUGCAAAGUGUCCCACGAAGGUGCGUCAACAACUUUAGCUCUCGUAACCCGGAACCACUGUCUUUUCCUACAACAAAAUUACACAACGUCUGAAGACAAGUCAACUUGCCAAUUCCUAGUGGCAUUUCCUCCAACGACUUCGUAUUUGAAUUCUUAAGAUGAUGCAAUUUGGCGAGGUUUCCCAUGUCUGCACACAACUUCUUCAGCCGAUCACAAUCUUCCAACAAAAGACUAUGCAAAUUGUAAAGCUUGUUGACUGAUUCAGGCAGAGUUCUAAUCUCAGUUCCAGACAGGUUAAGGUACCUUAAAUACCUCAAAGCACCAAUUGAAUCCGGCAGCUCAGGGAUGCGGUAUCCACGCAAAGAGAAGACCCUCAAGCGUUGGAGUUUGAGCAACUUAGGAAGAAUGCUAGGAGCCAAGUAUCCAGACAGUGAGCUAUUUGACAGCAUUACGGGUAAAAAUGUUCGCAAAUGUUGGAUAUCGUACAAGUCCUCAAACCUUUUAACACCAUCGUAAUCUCCACGAAUAUACGACAGAUGACGAAGAUUUCUUGAAAAACUUUGUUGCUUGUCAACCUCUGAGAUAUACUCCAUUCUGAAGUACAUUUCCCCAGCAGCCCAUUGAGCAAGGUCAUUGACGAGGUCGUGCAUCACAAAUCGUGAUAUACUGUUGCUUGAUUGCUGGAAAAAAGAUCUUGCACGUAGUUCUCGAAAGAACUUUCGACCUAGAUCUUCACUAGGAUUCCCGCUCUCUCCGUGAUCCAAGAGACCCACAGCACACCAUAAUAAAAUUAUCUCCUCCUCUUCAAAUUCAUAAUCCUUUGGAAACAAUGAGCAGUAUGCAAAGCAUUGUUUCAAAGGUGCCGAAAGAUAAUAGUAGCUCACUCUAAGCGCAGGUAUAAUGUCACAUCUCUCUUCUGGUAAAUCCCAUAUCUUGCAACUGAGCACAUCUUCCCAAUCACUUCGGUCACGUUUACCACGUAAGAGUCCACCAAGAGUUUUCGCAGCUAAGGGCAAGCCGUUGCAUUUGAUCACUAUAUUCUUGCCAAUGUCCUCCAAUGACUUAUGUGAACUGAAAUCUGUUGUCCCCAAAGAGUGCUGAGCGAACACAGACAGACAGUCCUCAGUUGACAAGCUUUUGAGUUCAUAAGCUUGAUCCAGGCUCAUGAUUUUGGCAACCUCUUCAUUGCGAGUGGUGACAACAAUCUUACUUCCCUGUGCGCCAGCUUGAAAUGAAAGGCUGAGGUGAACCCAAUCAGUGUAAUUCUCAUUCCAAACGUCAUCUAAAACAAGCAAAAAUUUCUUUCCAAAUAGUUGUUUCUUUAGCUCCUCUUGAAGCUUAUUCAAGUCGUGAUUAUCCACAUUCUGGCCAGGAGCAAUGGAAAUUAGGAUUGAUUUUGUAAGCCUGCUAACAUCAAAAUCAUCGGAGACGCAAGUCCAUGCCUUGAGAUUAAAAUGAUCCUCCACCUGCUUAUCAUUGUAGACAAGCUGAGCAAGAGUGGUUUUACCCAGCCCGCCCAUACCUAUAAUAGGAAUAACAGAGAAUCCACCAUCCUUUCUUGAAUCAUCCUUCAACAACAAUUCAACAAUUUCCUUCUUUUCUGUUUCCCUGCCAUAUACUUUGGCUUCCUCCACCAAAGAGGUUGUCUCUUGCCUUUGCCUGGCUUUUUUGGAUCCCCCAGCUGAACUUUUUAUCAAAUUCAGCGAGCCUAUUCUUUCUUCAAUAUCUUGAAAUCUAUCGUUGAUUUCUUUGAUUUUGGACAUCAUGGCGUAAUCGAACUGAAUCGAUUGUGGAGUAAAAGUGGUGCAGCAAGUAGGAAUGAGCUUCCGAAACUUACUUUUCGUGCUUGUACGACUGCUGCUGGGUUGAUCAUGAGCAGCAGCUGGUUCUCCAUUUCCAAGCAGCAACUUCCUCCGGAAAGCCUCAGUUUGGAACUCAUCCAACAAGUCUUCAACGUCAUAAGCCAAGUUCUGAAGCUCGCCAAGCCACAACUUCACAGAAUCAUCAGUCGUCUUCUUCUGCUCAGCAUCAUCAAGCACCGCCUUGAUCGUCACCAACUUCUUCUUCCACUUCACUAGAUCGUCUUUGAUUCGACCUUGGCGUUCAAAUAAACGAAGCCCCUCCGAAGAUAACUUAUUGACCAGCAUCUCAACGGACGCCUUCAGGAUUGCCUCUCCGAUGAUCGACAUAUAUUUUUUUUUUUUUGGGACAAAGAAUGAAACCAGAUUAUGAGCUUGUGGAAAGCAGAAUGAGAAAAGUGAAUAAGCAGCGUGAGUUUGUGAUUGUGUCUAGCAAGCCUAGAAAUCAAGAAAAACCCACCGUAAAAGUGAAAAGUAAAACGGAGCCAACCACAAAUAUAAAAUCAGAGGAUCACAGAAAUUAAAAAAAAAAAUCAAACACGUAAUGAUUUGUAAAGUUAUUAGCGAUUUGUAAAAAUCAAACAUGCGUCUUCUUCCUCUGAGUGUUUUUUUUUUUUUUUAACUUUAUUAAUUAAUUAGUGAAGUAAAUUUGUAAAGAUCACGGGCAUCAAAUUAUUGGGAGGUAUUAAUUGCGCUUAGUAUUUACAAUUUUUUGUAAAACUUUUUAAUUUCGUUGAAAAUGUAUCGUUAUUAAGUUAUUAUUGAUUUCACUCUCUUUUACUUUUUGACGUUGCGAAAAAGACAGUAAAAAACUUGCUAAAUGUCAUCAAAUACUUGUAUCUCAUCUCACAAAUUAGCAAUAUUUGUUUGGUAUUUCAUCUCAACGGGACGAAGGAACGAUAGAAAACGCGUUCCCUCAUCAAAAUUUUCUUUCGUGAGACCGAUAAUAAAUAAUAAAAUAUUCUUUUAUGGGAUCGAUUAUAAAUAGUAAAUUAAAGAAGGGUCGACAGAAAACGCGUUCCCUCAUCUAAUUUUUCUUUUGUGGGACCGAUAACAAAUAAUACAAUAUUCUUUUGUGGGACCGACUACAAGUACUAACAUAAAGAAUAAAAAAAUGAAAAAAAGGAUAGUGAAAUAACUCAACGGAGAAGUCUAUAAAUGCUUUUGUUUGGUAGCUGGCUAAAGCAGAAUCUGUAAGUUGCAGAGUCAAGUUACACUUAGCCUGCUCCAUAACUCUAAUGUGAAACAAAAAAAGUCCUGCCACCAAUAAUUCAGCAAGCUUCACUUUAUUACACGAAGGUGAAAGCAAAAAGCCAAAAACAGCCCCCACCACCAUCAAUAAUUUAGCAAGCUUCACGCGCUUGUGCUUGUCUUGUCUGCUUGACGAACUGGACAUGGGUGGACCAAGCAUCCAUUGAAUAACUGGAAAAAGUAAAAAAUAAAAAACAGUGUCCCGCAAAAAGAAUCCAUCUUUAUGUGUUGAUAUGCACAUCUACCGAACAUCUACAAAAUGGAAGUAGAAAUUGAAACUUACGUUUUUUAGUUAUGGCUCAUAUAUAAUACAAGUAUCAAUAUUUAAGUAGAAUAGAGUUCACAUAUACACAUGCGUCUAGUUUUAAGUUUUAACCGAGAGAUAAAUUAAUCAUUAAUACUCAGGUGUUUCUAAAUAAUUGAAUAAUGAUAUUAUACGAACCUUCCCUUUACAAGUCUUCAAACUCAUAAACCAAGUUAAAAUAAAAUUAAAAAAAACGUUUCUCUCUCUCUCUCCUUUUGCUAUAUGAUUACUUUAUUUAUUGAAUUAAUUUCCAUGCUAUAUCAAAGACUUAAAAGUACACUAUAAUUUUUUAUAAUCAUAAUGGUAAUUUCUAUCAUCAUAUUAAAUUAUUGUCGUGUCAAAAUAAAUUAUAACAAAAUUUUAGCUGAACAUAAGUUCGACUCAUUUAUUAAAUAUAUAUACUUAAUAAAAUAAUAAGACGAUUAAUAUGUUAUCAGUGAUAUAGACCCAACUGAAAUAACUCUAAUGUGAAAACAAAAAAAAUCCCGCCACCGAUAAUUGAGCAAAUUAACUUCACUUUAUUACACGAAAGUGGAAGCAAAAGCCAGAGGCAGUCCCCACCACCAUCGAUAAUUGUGCUUGUCUUGUCUGCUUGACGAACUGGACAUGGGGGGGGGGGGGGGGGGGGGGGGACCAACCAUCCAUUGAAUAACUGGAAAAAGUAGAAAAUAAAAAAAUCAGUGUCCAGCAAAAAGAAUCUACCUUUAGGUGUUGCUUCCUAUUCAGUACAUGCAUAGAUAAUGUACAUCGACCUGGAAUUAAAAAAAUGGAAGUAGAAAUUAAAACUUACUUUUUUAGAUAUGGCUCAUAUAUAUUACAAGUAUCAAGAUUUGAUUAGAGUUCACAUAUUUACAAUGUGCCUAGUUUUAAUUGAGAGACAAACUAAUCAUUAAUAAUCAGGUUUUUCUAAAUGAUUAAAUAAUGAUAUUAAUUAUUGAUAUUUAAAAAAUUUGUAAGAAGUAUAACUAAUAUGUUGGGAUAUGUAUUUGUGUAGAAUGGCAAAUAUAAAGAAUAGCAAUAAAAAUAGUGGAACUUUAAUAUGAUGAAAAAAGGUAAACUGUAGAAAAUUAAUAUAUAAUUCAAGGUACGUUACAAAUAUCACUUUCCUUCAGACAUUAUUUACCCCACCAAUUGAGUGAAUGCACAUGAGUUAAGCAAAUAUGUCUCUAGGAUAUAAUGAAACGCUUCUUUGUUUGCUUGUAUUGUGCAUCGACAAAAGUAAAUCUGAAUAUUCCUUAAUGUUGCAAGCUUGCCACGAAUUAAUAUAUUGUUAUUGUAAAAAAAUAAAAAAAAUAAUGUAUUGGAUAUUUGAUGCAUAAAAGAAAUAGAUAUUAUUAGAUGAAAUUCAUUUUGAGAAAUAGGGCUACAAAAAGAGUGGUGUAAUGUCGUUUUAUUAAUGUCUAAAUGGCAUAAAUAUGACAUCUAUUUACAAAUAUAUUUAUGCUCUUUUAUUUAAGUUAUCGUCUUUAGUAAUGCCCUUGAUUCAUAUCCAUUAGAUCAAGCAACCUAAUCCCCACUAAAACUAACUUAUUGAACAGUAACUCAACGGAUGCUGUAAAGAUUGCUCUUGGAUGAUUGACAUUUUUUUUAAAAAAAAUUUGGGCAAAGAAAGAAACUGAAUUAUGAGUUUAUGGAAAUUAAAGCAAAUGAGAAAGUGAAUUAGCACAAUGAGUUUGUGAUUGCGAAGGAACCAGCAAAUCAAAAAACAAUUAAGCAAGAGAAAAGGACAAUGAACACUUUAAUAUUCUAGAAAAGGGAUAUGAAACCUCUAAACAUUUUAAAAAAGAUAUAUAAUCUCCUUUUUAUUAGUAAAAUCUGUUUAUUUCAGUAGUAACAUAAUCUUUAAUUUACAUUUACUAUCAUGUCCCUAUAAUAAAUAAAUUAAUAUAUUUAAUUUAAAAGAGUGAGCCCUCCAAUUUUACUUCCCAUUUGCUCAAUUGCCUUUCAUUCAUAUACAAGCAUGUUUAACAUCUCAUUUUGCCUAAUUUGCCUUGGAAGAAAAUAAAUUUGAUUUUAUUUUUAUCUAUUAUUCAUCAUUUUUUAUCAUCUUAACAUUGGGAAGGAUAUAUUCAUAAUUUAAAGUGAAUAAUUUGGAUAAAAGAUAAUUAUAUCUUAAUUUUAAGUUUUAAAUAAAAAGUUGUUGGUUUUAUUAUACAUGUCAUUGAUGACAUGUCUUAAAUUAAUAUAUUUAUUUAUUUAUUAUCGGGAUAUAAUAAUAAUUAUAAAUUAAAAAUAAAUUUAUUAUUAAAAUAAAUGGAAUUUAUUAACAAAAAUAGGAAUUAUAUAUCUUUUUUAAAAUAUUAAAACAUUAUUUUUUUUUAGGGUAUCACUAUCCAUUUCCCAUUAAGCAAAACAAAAGUGAAAAGAAAAAUCAGAGCCCACUAUAAAUAUAAAAUUAGUGGAGCUCAUGAUGAUGCAUUUGCUUUACAUACUAAAUUAAAUAAAAGCCGAACCAAGAAUCUUUGCCUUAGCUUAACAUGAUUAAUUAGGCACUACUUCAUAGAAAACGCGAAAGCAAUGAACCCUUUUUUUAAUCUUAAAUGUCAUGAAUAUAAUUCUUCUGCGUUAAUUAAUCAUUCUUCUCUGACCGUCUCUUCAGGUUCAUUUCAAAAGUUUGAAGAUAGUUUAUCAAUUCUUCUACUUAUAAAAGCAAGUUAAAUUAAAAGAUUUUAAUCUCUCUUCUUAUUACUAUAAGUGCACUGUGCACGACAUUUUUUUACAAUAAACAAUGCCAAUUUGUAAUGUAAUGUUAUAUUCAUAUUCCCAUCGCGUCGAACUCUUUUUUUCCCUCUUUUUUAAAAGGAGACGGUGCGGUUUGGUUGUUCGCAAAAUUAGUGGUGUGGGGCUCUAUUUGCUUUUGUUUUCACUUUAUUAAUUAACUAGCGAAGCAAACAUGUAAUCAUUUGUAAAGGAGUCACUAGCACCGGAUUAUGUAAGAUGAAUUCGUAAGACUUAUUAAUUUCAAUUGAAAAUGUAGCGUUAUUAGGUUAUUAAUUCACUAAGUUAACUUGAGGUUCUAAUAUUUACUAAUUGUGGUGAUUAAUUUAUUUAACUUGUCAUAAUUUUCAUUUGAGAAUGAAAUUCAAUCAAUGUAUGAAAAAAGAUAAUUUUUUAAAAUUUUUAAUUCCUAUGAUUUGAUUUCACUUUUUUCCGGAUAUUGACGCUGUAAAAGCUUGCCCAAUGUCAUCAAAUGCUUGUAUCCCAUCUCACAAAUUAGCAAAUAUCAUUUGGUUUCUUUAUACGUGGCCAUCACAAAUUAAAAGUAACAACAUCCACCAUAUAUCGAAAAUUAAUUUUGAGAAUACUUUUGACUUUUAAAAGAAAAAUGCGAGUACAAUUUAAUAAGAGAGAACAAGAAUUGAUCAUGUCCCAAGAGACUGAAAAUAAGAUUAUAUAAACUUGAAUGCAGGCAUAUCAUAUGUUAAUCUUAAUUUUUUUUUGUUGCUGAAAAUUAAUUAAUUUGUUCCACUAUUCCUUUUUUAAUUGUAUGGUGAGAAACACAUUGGCCACUUCUGAAUCAUGUUGCAUAUUUGUUAACUCAAAGAAACAGUACACUUUUGUAUCAAUCAAACUCACUUUGUUAAUAUUCUUCAUUAUUAUGGUUAAUGGCUUAGCAAAUGUAGAAGGAGGAGUCAACCAAAAUGUAGCACUUUCUCUUGUAUUAACCUUUUAUUAAUUGUUGAAGUUAAAAAAAAUGUUAAAACAAGUUAAAAUAGUUCCAUCUCAAAAUCAGUAGGGUGUAAGUAGGUUGUUAUAAAUAUUUUUAAAUUUUAGUCUAAUUUAAUUGUGUGAUGCACAAACUUUCUCACUUCUUUCAUAUAAAUAAAGGGGAGAACUAUUUGAACUCAUUAAAUCACUUUUUAAAUUCCUCUACUUAUUAAGGCCAUCAUAAAAAUUCAAAAAUCCUUUUUAUACUCACUACAUCUCUUAAAAAUAUCGCAAAUAUGACACAUUUGUCUUCACCUUCUAUUUAUCUUCAACAUUCACAAUUUUUAUUUGAAUCUGUAAUAUGUUUAACACUGUUCAUUCACUCAUUAGAGUUCCAAUAAUAGAAUAUAGAGAUUAAAAAUAUCAUUAGCAAAUUAUUUGUUUGUGUUCUAUAUGAUAUUCUUGGUUUGGAAAAAGCUUCAUCGGCAAUAUAUGUAAAUAAAAGACUAAGAACUUCCAAUAAUUCAGAUUUGAUCGAAACUUCACAAACUUAUUUUCACUUAAAAAAAUAAAAUAAAGUAAAAGAAAUUCUCGUGUUUUAAAAGAAAAACUGCCAGACAUGUUUCUAAAACAACUAGAAACCAAACUAGGCUUGAAGCAGUGAGUUUUGAAUUAUAAAAAAUACAUAAUUGUAAUUUCACCUAAAUCAAAUGAUGAAUUUCAUGACAACGGAUUUAGACUAUAGACCAAUACACAAAGAAUUGGAUGUUCAUCGCAUUUGUUCUUGAAAUUGUUUUGCGCAAAAAAGUUAACUAUUGUAUUAUGUUGUAUUGCAUUAUUUUAAUAUAAGUGUAUUAUAUUAUGCUGUAUUGCAUUAACACUGUAUUAUAUUAAUACUAUACAACGUUUGGUUCUACAUUGUACUAUAUUAAUUUUUAAUUAUACAUACACUAUAUUAUGCUAUACUAUAUUAUUUUUUUGGUGGUUAAUUUCAAUUAUAUGUUUGGAAAUAAUAUUUAUUAGUACUUAGCAAAAUAUAAAAUAUAGAACCUUAAAUUUUAGAAUAUUUACAUCAAUUUUUUUUAGUAUAAAUGUAAAUAAUUAUAAUAAUUCUUCAUUAAACUUAUGUAAAAAUAACAAAUUCUGAAUUUUUGCUAUCGUAACAUUUUUUUUUUAACGGCGUUUUUCAAAUGUAUACCUUAUUGAUGAUGCACCAUAAAAAUAAAUAUCAAAUUUUGCGAUCAUGAUCAAGUCGAGUUUUACAUUAUGAAAGCAUGACACAAAAAUUGAAAAAAAUAAUGGCCGGCAAAAAGUUAUACAAGCAACAACAAAAGUGCUAAUUACUCGGAAAAUAAACAAUCAAGAGCCGCUGAUAGAUAUGAGUCAUAUGACAAGGUAGAGGAAUACAGAUAUCUGCAUACAUUUUUAACAAAGAUCAUCUUUGUAACCAAUUGUUGGCUUUGGCAUUAAAAGAUCAUCUUUGUAACCAACUGGGUAGCUAUAAAAUGAAUACUAAGUCAAUCAAACGGGAAAGCUUGCUACAAGACUUUGAAGCAUUAUUCUGUUGCAUCACCUUCCUCCUCUGCCUCACUUCCUGCAUCCCAAAUUAAAGAACAACAAAUAUUAAAUAACAAAAACAAAAUCUUCAAUAGACUUUUCAUACUCCAUGGAGCAAAUCUAUGGGAAUCCACAAAAUAAUUGAAAUAUAUCAAUGCUGCAGGUCAUAGUAACAAAUUACAGAUACACAAUCAUGCAUAUGCAACUAAAAAAUGCUUAUUUAUUACAGCCGCUUUUUGGCAUGACUACUUCAUAAGUUAUAUAUGAUAGAUAACAUUAUUAUUCUAAUCACAUGGUUAUGAUUUUAGUUGGACAUACAAAAGCUACGUGCAUGAAUCUGUAUCAUGCCACCUUUCAUGAGUCAAAAAUUUAAAUCAAAUCAAUUUGGUUGAGCCUUCAAAUUCCUAUUCCAGUCAAAGGAGAUGAUUUUUCCAAAGGUAAAGAAUGAGUCCGGUUACUUAAGCAUGUCAACCUUUUUUCUAGGCUAAGGUUUAUCCCUUUCCAUUUCACUAACUCUCCUCUCACUACCUUGCGUCAACAUUUGCAUACUUGAUAUACUUUCACAACCUUAAUCUAAUACUUUCAUUUAUGCUGAUAUAAAGAAGAAGUUUGAUUUAAAUCUGGACAGGUAACAAGAUUAAAAAACUGCCUUGUAGUAGAGCCAAUUCUUCCAACAAACAUUUCUUGAACCAAUAUCUAAGAUUAAGCUGGAUCACGUAAGACAAAUAUGCCAAGAAGAUUUUUAACUCACCUGACACUAUGGAUCUCCAAAUGUACUCAAUUAGCUUAGGUAAGCCAUACUUCUUCUCAAUUAUGAGCCCAGUAAAUAGGACCCGAAAAACUUGCAUUCCUCUGCUGACAUUCAUUUCAGUGUUGCAAGAAUUACAGAUUCCAUGACCAUGGACUGAAGUUCUUUUGUUAAGACAGGCGCAAGAGAGUACGCCCCUAUCCCACUAGUAUUUGGCCCGGUGUCACCAUCACCAACUUGUUUAUGGUCCUGACAAGACAUUAGAGGUAUGGGCGUAUGGCAUUCUCCCCAUCCACGAAGUCCUUUAGAACCAAAAGCAUUGUUUACAAGCAUCGAAUCAACAACUUCUAUGAAUCAUCCAAUGUCAUAGUUAGAGCUGGUAAAAUUUGACACGAUCCAAUUAUUCGACACGAACACGACACUAAUAAAUGGGUAUGGGUCGUCAAAUUUAACACGAUUAUUAAAUCGGUCGGGUCCGGGUCAACACGAUUUUUUUCCGUGUCGGGUUAGGGUUAAAAUUCUUGACCCAUUUACCCGAUCAAUGACUCGAUUAUAUUUUUUAUUUUAAAAUAAUUUAUAGAUUCUUGUCAUCAAAACUUAAAUAUUAGAGAAUUUUUUUUUAUUCUUUAAAAAGAUGAAUAUAGACACAAUAUUUUAUUUAUAAAAUUUUAAAUAUAUUUAGAGCUUUAAUAAUGUAAAUGUAUAAAAUAUUGGUAGAUACGUAUAUUUUAUAAUAUUGAUAUAUAAUAUUAUUUACAUAUAUAUAAUUAAAACCUCAAUAAUGUGUGUAAUAUUUUAGUAGAUAUGAAAAUUUUAUAAUACUGAUAAAUUAUGUAUGUAUGGAUGGAUGUUGAGACAAGCUAGAGAAGCCAUGAAUGAGAUUUUUCCUUUGACUCCUGCUAUGUGGCAAGAAUUUGCGAGAGAUGAAGCCUCUAUUUCAACCGGGUAUCUGUCAUUUCCUUUUUACAGUGGUUUUUGAUUUUGUGAACAAAUACUUUUUUUUUCGCUUAGAGAUAUAGAUGUUUAUGUUAGUUAUUUGCUAAUGUAAAAAGGAACAAAAACUGCUUAAAAGGUAUUAAAGAAAGAAAAAAGGAACCAAUUUGAAGAAGGGGAUACUCAUAGCGGGAGUUCUGCUUUGGGGUUUAAUUGAUGGGAAGAAGAAAUAGUUUAUAUGUUUACAGAAUUAAACAAUUGAUCACUGAGUUAGUUGAGGAAGAUAAUUAAUCACAAUGUCUGAAGCUGUUGCUGUUGGCGUCACCUAUUGUUAAGAUUUCAUCCUUUUUUAUGGUUUUACAUAGCUGUGACCUAAAGCUUAAUGUAUACGUUGAUAAUUACAUAAUUGGUUUCUUGCUGAUACUUGGCUUUAAUUUGUAAGCCUGAGGCUCUUUCGGGAAUUGAGAAGAUUUACGGAAGAGGAGUUUCUGAUUAUCUGGUUUGUUCUCUUUAUGCUUACAGAAUUUGAAUUAACGCUCUGCAUGAAUUUAUGAUUCAUUUUUUUUGGAGAAAUAUUUUAUGAAAUUGAAGCAUUGGAGUAAAGCGUACUAGUCGUAAGCUUGAUUCACUUUGUUUUGAUUUUAUUACCAAGAGGUGCUAACAGUUCAUGAUGCAUAAAAGAGGGGGAAAAAAACUCUUCUUGGUAGAUACAUAAAUUUUAGUUUCUGAAUCAUUUUCAACGAAAGAAAUAAUUUUACAGAGGCUGAAGAGCAGCAUUUUCAUUUAUAUGAAAGUUCAAUUGUUAUAUCAUCUGUUUCCAUAUCUUUUGUGGUAAAUAAAGUCCUUGAUGAUGGCAUAAGAGCACAGAAGAGUUGUUAGUUUCAUAUGUGGAGAUUUUCAUCAUAGUAGUUCAUUGAAAGUGAAGGCAGCUGAAUACCCUUUUUUCUGAUGCAGUCUGUCCCUCUUUGGUGUGAUUAUUUAAAAUUUGUGCAAGAAUAUGAUCCAUCUAUACGCGAAUGUUUACCCAAUGGCACUUCAAAGGCAAGGAAUCUAUUUGAGCGGCUAUUACUGCUGCUGGUCUGCAUGUUUUAGAAGGCAGUGAAAUAUGGGAAUUGUACAGAGAAUUUGAGCUAGCUAUAUUUAGUAGGAUUGAUAAGAUUAACUUGAAUGUGAAAUAUUUUAAUUUAUUUUACUUUUUUUUGGGCUUAAAUAACGAGUUUAUUCCCAUCUAUAGAAAGAAAAAGGGAAGGUUUUUUUUUUUUUUGCUGGGGGGGGUGUUUCCAACCCUAGCACAUGACAAGCAUUCCAAGACCCUUGCUGCUUGUUUUGCAGGAAAAGGAAAAACAGGUUCUGCGGAUUCGAAGUAUAUUUCAUCGCCAGUUGUCUGUUCCCCUUGCUAACUCAAGUGCAACUCUUCUUGCCUACAAAUCUUGGGAGCUCAAACAGGGGGCUGUUCUUGAUGUUGAAUCUAGUAAUGUAGAUGGGAUUUCUUCUAAUGUUGCCGCAGCAUACCAAAAGGCAUUGGAGAUGUGUAAUGCACGAGCUCAUGUUGAAGAGCAGAUUUCUAGGCAGGAUUUAUCUGACUCAGAGAAAUUUCAACAAUACAUGGCAGAUGACUUUACUAUCGUCAUUUGAUAGCUUUUUAUAGUAAGUGAAAUCCAGCCCUAAAAAUUUUAUUAAUAUGAAUAUUUUUUUGGGGGGAUUUCUUCUUAUGGCAUUAUUAUUUUGCUUUUGUGUAGCUAACAAUUAAUAUGUGCACUUUAAAUAUUAUCUAUUGUUUCUUAGCAAAUAAUAGUAAUAAUAAUAAGUAAUAAAUAAUUAAUAUCUGCAUUGUCAAAUAAUAAUAAUAAUAAUGUCUGCUCUUUUUACUCUUGGGGGGGGGGGCAUGCAGUGUCAUUAUCUUCCUUCUUCUCCUUUUUCUAUUUUGUGCUUUCAAGUUUAAUAUUAUUAUAUUAAUCUGUUAUUGUUGUAGAUAUACUUGAAGUAUGAGCAAUCUUCUGGAGAUCCUGGUAGAGUUCAACUUCUUUAUGAACGGGCUAUUACCGACUUUCCUGUAUCAAGUGAUCUCUGGCUUGAUUAUACUCGUUAUCUUGACAAAACAUUAAAGGUUUAUCCUUCUAUUUUCUAUUUUACUUCUUCUGUUGCAGCUAUUUGUAUACUAAUCGACUCUCCUCUUCAGGUUGGUAAUGUUGUGAGAGAUGUUUAUUCCAGGGCUACAAAAAAUUGUCCCUGGGUAGGAAAACUUUGGGUACGAUCUUUGCUUUCUCUGGAACAUGGCCGUGUUUCUGAGGAGGAGAUAUCCACUGUAGGUUUAAUUGUUACCCUUCAUUCUGAGCUUAAUCAAUUUUCCUGAAUGUAUUCAUUCUGAGCUUAAUCAAGUUUCCUGAAUGUAAUUGAUUUUGAUUGUUUGAAGUUAAAGAAAUGAUCAGCUUCCUAGGCAAAUUUCUUGGCAAGCACUUGAUUGUGGGAGUAACUGAGGAGAAGCAUUCCCUAGUGUUUUUUUUUGUUUUUCUCCUCCCCUAAAAUUGCAAUAUACUUCCCUUGAAGAGUAUUUUUUGCUUUAGCAUUUACACAUCUGUACAGAAGCAAACAUGAAUCAGAGAGAUUUAGUGGGCAAAUUCACCUGUGCUGACAAAUUAAAGCAUAUUAAAUACCGCGGUGGUUGUUGGAAUGCUCCAAAAAGUGUUUUCUUGGUGCUCCUGCUCCUUUUGCACUUUCAUAGUGUUUUAAUAACUGGGUUGUUUAAAUGUCCUGUACUUAUUUUCUUUACAAAUGUCUUUGUAUUUUUUUAAAUUUAUAAAAGAUUGUUCUAAUUAUAUUAAUAGCAACAAAUUGCGCAAACUCAAAUCUUAAUUUCAUUCUGCCCCUAUUACAUAUAUACGGGAUUCUCCUAUUAUUUCAUCAAAUUUUCCAUUACUAAUUUCAGGUCUUUGAGAAGUCACUACUAUGUACUUUUUCAACCUUUGAGGAGGUAGAGAUAUAAUCUUAUGUCUUCUGUACAUACCUUGGUUUCUUGAGCUGUAUGAUUUGGUAUAUAUCUACUUCUGAUUCAUCAUGCAUUUUUUUGUUAACUGGUUCUUUUUUGUUUGAGUACCUAGAUCUAUUCCUUACUUGAAUAGAUGGUUUGAGGUGGAGAAUUUUAUUCUCCGGUGAAGUUGAGGGCGCCUUGGAUUAUUCAUUGAUAACGGAAACCCUUCAGGUUUGUAAACUUAUACUGUUGGCUAUUCAAUAUUAAAAUUGGUUAUACUCCUUAAUAUCAAGAAAUUGAAGCUUCCCAAAUCAUACCCAAGAAAUGCUCUAUUGUGGAUUACUGGAUGGAGCUAGUUGCUAGAUGAUACCUUUAAGAUUCAAGACAUAUGUUGUUUUGUGUAUGGCUAUCAAGUACUUUGGCCUGCAAUUGUGGCAUAUUGGUCUUACGCCAGCAUCAGGUAUAACAUUGUGUCUGGCAUAUAUACCAUUGGAAUUCUGGGUUUCUGUUGAGUGGGCUCCAACAGCUAUAUUUGUGUCCAAUGUUGUGGGGUCCUCUUCUUUGGUGCUUUUAAGUGAAGUUUUAACUUUCCUUGUCAAAAUUUUGUUACAAAUCAAGUAGAAGGCACUGCACUGAAGCAUUGGUACUUCUAGAUUGCUUGUUUUGCAUGGUAGAUUUCAAUCCAUUGCUUUUAUUUCUUGGAUCAUGUUUAUCAUUGAGGACUUUCUUGGCCAGUCAUAGAGCUGACUAGUGCUACCAUCAUCAUUGGUAGGGCAAAAAAGUCAAUUCCUAUGGGAUGCUUUCUGACUUAGAGAAGAUGUCUUCAAGAAUUUGUGGAUUUAAGUCUUCACACGAUGUUCAACUCUUGAUAGUCUAACCUUGGUACAGGAUUUAUAGCUGUCUUCCAAGUUUGUGCUCAUAAAUGAGUAACCUGUCUGUCUUUAUGAUACCAGUUAAAUUUGUUAGCUUUCCGGGAUUUGGAGGUUGUAAAUGUCCAUAAACAACAAUGUCUUCUCUUCCUUACAGCGUGCAUCAGAUUACUUGUCAGAACAGAUGAAAAAUAACAAUGGUUUGCUGCGUUUGUAUGCUUAUUGGGCACGUCUUGAACAAACUAUGGGAAAAGAUACGGUUUCAGCUCGUAGUGUCUGGGAGAGGCUACUUAAGAUCAGGUUCACCAAUUUUAAUUUUUGCCAGUGCAUACAUAGCAAAAUUUCUUUAUAUCUAUAUAUUUUCGGAUAACUUGUGCUUCUCUUAAUGCAGUGGUACAAUGUUGGAAGCCUGGCAAAGUUAUAUAUCUGUGGAAAUUGAAUUGGGUCAUAUUAAUGAAGCUAGAUCCAUCGACAAGAGAUGCUACAGUAAAAGAUUUACAAGGACAGGUUCAGAGGUAAAUUUCUUUCAUCCUGCUUCUUUAAUGAAUAUUAACUGCUUAACAACGUACCUUGUUGUUUCCAUCUUGUUUGUUUAACUGGUCUUAUUUGUAAACACCUGAAAUCAUACAUCUUAAUUUCUGAUAAUUAGAUGUUAUUUUAGAUAUCUGUAUCUGUUAAUGUUCUUUCAAGUCUGAUUCCAAUGCAUAUUUAGUUAAACUGCUCUUUACUGCAUUUUGGAUUAGUUGAUAUCUUCCUUUCCUAAAAACAGAAUCAUUCAGGACAUAUGCCAUGCUUGGCUGCAAUUUGAAUGGGAAUUUUGUAUAAAAUUUUUAAUGAAUUUAUGGGUUUGAUGAGUAAAAUUAGGGGUUCAUAUAGACUCACCCAUAAAUUGAACCCUUAUUUUAUGUUGAUGCACAACUUAACUUAACAAAAAUAAUGUUCAAAUUGUCACAAAAUUUGAAAAAAAAAUCAUACAGUUAAUUUUUCUUCUACUUUACUCCAUUAUUCAAUGGGCAUAUAAUAAAUUAGGAGAGGGGAGAAAUAAAGGGGAAAAUUAGAGUAUUGUCGCAAUGAUACACUGAUACAAAUGCCCAUUGAGUGAUUGUCAAUGGGCAUAUAAUAAAUUAGGAGAGGGGAGAAAUAAAGGGGAAAAUUAGAGUGAUUGUCACAAUGAUACACUGAUACAAAUGCUUAUGUAUGUGUAGUGUGUGUGUGGGGCGUUCUUUAAUUUGACCAAAAAUAAAUGCAUUUAUUUGUAUUUUUAAUCAAAAUCGAGGGAUAUAAACAAAAAUUUUACCACUCCAGAGUCCAGACAUGUAUCAUUGCCUCGUUAAAAAAAAUUGCAUAAAAUUAAAAAACCAUUAGUGGCUGAAAGAGAGAAACAAAUUAAGAAAGGGUUCAAAAGAUGGAACCCGAAGAGAAAACCCUAGCAACAAUCCCAGAAGAAGAAGAAGAAGAUGGAGACACGGCCAUGCCCGACGUCAAGAACAACCCUAAACCAACAACAACAGCCAACUCUUCGGACUCGAGCGAUGCCUCUGACUCAGACUCGGACUCUGACUCAGAAGAUGAAGCAAAACAGAACAUGGAGCUUCAAACCCUAGAGUAUCAGCUAUCCAAUGAACCCUCCAAUUACGACACCUAUGUUCAAGUAACUUCAAUACACAUAUUUAUUGAGUGAUUUUGUGGAUAACCGUUUGCUUGUUCUUUCUUGGGUUGUGAUAAAAAUGGUUUUUAUCUUUUUUUUUUCAGUAAAUAAAGGUUUUGAGAAAAAUGGGUGAGAUAGAGAAAUUGAGACAAGCUAGGGAAGCCAUGAAUGAGAUUUUUCCAUUGACUCCUGCUAUGUGACAAGAAUGGGUGAGAGAUGAAGCCUCUAUUUCAACUGGGCAUCUGUCAUUUCCUAUUGCAAUGGUUUUUUAUUUUGUGAGCAAAUGUUUUUUUUGCUUAGAGAUAUAGAUGUUUAUGUUAGUUAUUUGCUAAUGUAAGAAGGAACAAAACCUGCUUAAAAGGUAUUAAAGAAAGAAAAAAGGAACCAAUUUAAAGAAGGGGAUACUUAUAGUGGGAGUUCUACUUUGGGGUUUAAUUGAUGGAAAGAAGAAAUAGCUUAUAUGUUUACAGAAUUAGACAUUUGAUCGCUGAGUUAGUUGAGGAAGAUGGUUAAUCACAAUGUCUGAUGUUGUUUCUGUUGGCCUGAACUAGUUGUUAAGAUUUCAUACUUUCAUUCAACAAUACAAUAGACUUUGAUUGGGUCCACCGUAGUUGGGUGUUCUGAGGAAUCAAUGAGUGUCUUGAGAAAACUUGGGUGGAGUGCUGGUCAUUUUCAGGAUUCAGUUUCCAAGAAAACAAAAAUGAAGUCGUAGUUGUAGUUUAAAUUAAUUUAUGUUUUUAUCUUUUUCUGUGAGCCCAGUGAGCUUUUAUUUUCACUUUGUUCGCUUUUGUUUCUUUCCCUUCUUUUCCUACAGUUUCUUGAUAAUCAAACAGAUCAGGAUUAAGUGUUUACUUUUGGUUAGGGGUGGGCGUUCGGUUCGGGUUAACCCGAACUAAACCGAACCUGAAAUUUAUUUCGGGUUCGGUUCGGUUUGGGUUAACUCGUGCAACCCGAACGGAUUCAAAGCUUCAAUCUGUUCGGGUUAAAUUUCGGUUCGGGUUCAACCCGAACCGAAUUUUCAACCCGUUCGGGUUGAAGCUUUUUUUUUUUUAAAGAUUUAGCUUUUAAAUUAAAAAUAUAUAUACAUUAAUUAAACCAAAAAAUCCCUAAAAAUGAAAAAUCCCUAAACAAAAAUCUCUCCCUCUCGGCCUCCCCCUCCUUGCUCCCUCUUCUCACUUCUCAGUUCUCACUUUCUGUGAACUGUGGUUGAUGACAUCAGCACUUCAGCAGCAGCCACAGCAGCCCCGUUCAGCUCCAACAGACACCAGCCGGCCUCAUCGUCUCACUCCCUCCCCCUCCUUGCUCCAUCGUUUCACUCCCUCCCACGACGACAACACUCACAGGCCACAACAGCAGCCAGCAGCCCCGUUCACAGCAGCCCACUCGCGUCAGCCAGCACGCCUCGCCCGCAACUGCGCUGUGCGUUCAGCUCGCGUCCCACUCAGCCCAGGAAGUCUCGAUCUGCCAACGCUGUAGCUGCUCUGACCUCCGAGAUUAAGGUUUGUCUUGCCUUGCCGACGGCGACGCUGUAACUUGCUGACUUGCACGCAACUGAUGGCAACAACCCGAAUUGAAUUUUAAGUUUUUAACAGCCUGUUGCUAUUAAUUAAAUUGUAAAUUUUUAAUUAAUUGAUUGACAAUUAUUCAAUUAUUUGAAGUGGGUUUGUUGUUGUUGAUUGAUAAUUGAACCCGAACUAAUCCAAACUAACCCGAAUUAACCCGAACCGAAAUUGUAACCCGAAUUAUCAACCCAAUCCGAUCCGAAUUGUCAAUCCAAACCGAACCGAACCGAAUUGGUUCGGGUUGGCGUUUUCAACCCGAUUGGGUUCAAUUCUCCAACCCGAACGGGUUGAAACCCAAACCGAAACCCGAACAACCCGAACCGAAACCCGAAACGCCCACCCCUACUUUUGGUGUAAUUAUUCACUCUAACUCGAAUAGUACUUAGGUUUAGUGCUAACAAAAUAGGAAGUGAAUUAAUAUCUGAAGUUGACCUAGGAGUGGAAUGAAUGUUACCAAAAAUAUACUAUAUGGUAGAUAGAAUUUGCCUUUUAGGUAAGACAAAAAUAAUUACAGCUGUUAAUUUAUUUCAAUAAGUUCGUACAUCAUUGAAUAAUAAGUCCAAGAUUUUAAUGGUUUUGUUUCCUGAAAAUUUGUCACGAGUGCAUGAACAAAGUUCUAUGGAUGAACUUCUCUUAGUUAAUUUGAGUUCAAUGUCGCAGUUCCUCAUAUUAACUAUAUAAAACACUAAUCUUGCUCUUUACUUUGGAGCAUUUUAAUAAUUGAUGCUAAUUCCUUAGCCAUUUUAUUCAUCUUGUGCAUAAAUUAUGCAAUCAAUAAGCCAACUCCACUUUCAUCUUUAUUUAGUGAAAAAUUUGCAAGGUCACUAGGAGGUUUUUGUAUGUCUCAUGCUAACAUGGACGCCAUGGUUUCACUAUGUAAAUUUUCCCCACUGAAAUUCAUGAUCCCUCAUAUACCACUCAUCACUCAUGAAGCUGUUUCUGGGGCUUUAAAAGCGCCAAAUUUUAGUUUUAUCCUUUCUAGCUUAUUAACCUGUCCGCAUCUGCAUUAUUAUCUUUCCUGUCAUACGAAAGUUUCAUUUAUCAUCUUCCCAACAUAAACAUCCGUAGGUCAUUGUUGACUUUUUUGCUUUGACACUUAUUGUUUCUAAGUAUAGGCUACCAAGGGAGAAAAAAAUUGACAUUGAUGGUCAUCCCCAGCAUUUUUAUCCCAGGAGACUGGUCAUUCACUUUCUAUGAAGGACUAUAUAGACAUCCAGACUCUAUUUUGAAGGACAAAGCUGUGGCUGAGCUUGGUUGUGGAAAUGGAUGGAUAACCAUUGCCAUAGCUGAGAAGUGGUUGCCUUUGAAGUUUUGUUGGUUUGUCGUCCUUAUGCCAUGUGAGAGCUUUUAUUUCCUUCCCUACCAGUGCCUUCAGGGGCUCCAUCAUGAUUUCUCUCAUCAUUUUCUAUCUCUGUGUUUUGCAAGGCCAUUUGAUAUUUAUAACAGCAUUGGCACCAGGUUAUGGUGAUUUAAUGCACUCCUAUUAGGAAAAAUUACAUAAUUAUCAACUCUGUCCUUGUCCAAAAGUCUUUGUUGGAGUAUGUUGAAAAUAUAACCUUGUAGGAGUUCUUUUAUGCUGUCUGAAUAUCCUAUUGCAGGUCUAUGGCCUUGAUAUUAAUCCCAGAGCAAUAAAGAUCUCUUGGAUAAAAUUGUACUUAAAUGCAUUAGAUGAAUCUUUUUCUAAGCUUUUCUGUCACUGUCACUGCAAAAGGUCUUUUGUAUUGAGGGUUAUCUGUGGGGCUAGGAAAGGUCAGCCCAUCUAUGAUGCGGUGAAGAAAACCUUACUGGAUAGGGUGGAGUUUGAUGAAUCUAAUCUCCUAGCAUAUUGUAGACAUCAUGACAUUCAACUUGAAUGAAUAGUGGGGUGCAGACCUCAGGUACUCUCACUUUCUGCAACUCAUGAUAUUUCUAGGGGAUUAAAUUUUAGUGAAGUUUGUUUACCCAACAUCAAGUUGGAAUUUUAGUGUGCCCACAUGGAUUACUUUUAACUCCUAGUUUAACUUAUUCUGUUGUCUCCAUGCAGGUUCUCAACCCCAAUUCCAAUGCAAUGUCGAAAAUAAUCACUGAAAAUGCAAGCGAGGAAUUUCUGUAUUCAUUGAGUAACUAUUGUGGAUUGCAGGUUGGAAGAUAUUCUAAAUAAUUUAAUUGUGAUGCGCAAUUGCAAUUGCCGGGAAGUUAGCAAUUAAGUUGAUAGGCUUCUUCUGGUUUCACAUAUUUCUAAGUAACAACUUUGGUUUGAAGCUUGCAUACCUUAGGUAAGGUUGAUGUCUUUAGUUGGUCAAUAUCAAUUGGGAAAUAUAGCUAACCAGUGAAGACAGUGGGAAAAGGAUGAUGUGAGUUUGACAAAUGCUGGGAGGAGAUAGGGAAACUUAAUCUGAAAGAUUUCUUUUUUUUUCUUGGUUUAUUUAUUUAUUUACUCGUGUGACCUCUUCACAAUGCCAUUGAUUCCCAUAGUUCAUGUUGCUAGGUGAACUUAACAACAACCAUCUAUUAUGCCUUGUGGAUAACUGAGAAAAUUUAUUGCUUUGGACAAGUUGCUUUUUGAAAUAGAGUGCAAGUAGAUUGACUAAUAAUGAACUUAUUGUAUCAAGUUGUUACAUUUGAAUAUAUUAAGGUCAUAUAAAGCUUACUUGUUAUACUUCUUUUUUUCUUUUUUCCCUCCCCAUUUCCCUGUAUGGAGGGUUUCUUGGACGAUCAGUUUGGCUUAGGUCUAAUUUUCUCGAGCAGUUAAGGAAUUACUGUUAUCAAAAUAAAGUUUCCUCUCACUCACUAGCCAAUUGAGCAGCUCGUCACCGGUCGGAUUCAUUGCCGAUUGCAGCCCACCUCCAUCAUGUCAGUUCAGUAGCUUGUCGCUGCAGUCAUGAUCGGCCUCUUUGUUGUCGUUGAAGAACCAAUCAAUAAUGAUGAUGAUUGAUGAUGAUGAUGAUUACCAUUGUUGAUGAUUAAUAUUAUUGAUGAUGAUGAUGUAGAUGAUGUAAUUGCGGUGAGAUGAUGAAGAUGAAACUGAAUUGUGAUGUUGAUAAUGAAAUUGACAGAAGGAAGAAGAAGAUUGUGAAAAAUCUGACUUCUUCACUCGUAUUACAUUAGAGAAGAAUACAUAUUUAUAUACAUUACACCCUAGGAAUAAAAUGGUAAAAAAAAAACAGCUAAGAUAUUGCAAAUCAGUAUCCCUGAAAAUUAGGGAUUAUAUAUCCUAAAAUCUAGUAUUUAAGUCAACACAUAGCUGUAAAAUACAGCUAACAUCUACAACAAUAGUCAACACACAGCUGUAAAAUACAACUGACAUCUGCAACACUCCCCCUCAAGCUGGAGCAUAGAUAUUCUUCAUGCCUAGCUUGCAUACAAACUCUUCAAACUUGUGUCCAUGCAUUCCUUUUGUCAACAUAUCUGCAGUUUGUUGUCCUGUUAGAAUAUACACCAAACAGAUAACUCCAGUUUCCAAUUUCUCUUUAAUAAAAUGUCGGUCUACCUCCACAUGUUUUGUCCUGUCAUGAUGGACAGGAUUAUGGGCAAUAUUAAUUGCUGCCUUAUUGUCACAGUAAAGUUGCAUAGAACUAUUUUUUAUUAACUGUAGUUCUUUGAGAACACGUUCUAUCCACAUAAGCUCACAUACCGCAUGUGCUAGUGCUCGAAAUUCUGCUUCUGCACUGCUUCGUGCCACUACAGUUUGCUUCUUGCUUCUCCAAGUUACAAGGUUUCCCCACACCUUAGUACAAUAACCCGUUGUAGACUUCCUAUCCAUGAUGUUUCCAGCCCAAUCCGCAUCAACAAAAGCUUCUACAUUCCUUUUUUCUCCCUUCUCAAAAUAAAGUCCCUUUCCCGGUGUUGACUUCAGGUAUUGAAGUAUUCGGUUUACUGCCACUAAGUGAGCUUCUUUUGGGGCGUGCAUAAACUGGCUCACUAAGCUAACCGCAAAAGCAAUAUCAAGUCUAGUAUGGGAAAGAUAAAUUAAUCUCCCUACUAGCCUUUGAUAUCUCCCCCUCUCCACGGGUGCACUAUUUUCUUCAAGACCCAACUUGCUAUUUGGUUCAAUUGGUGUGGCAGCAGGUUUACAGCCAAUCAUACCAGUAUCCUUUAGCAAAUCUAGGGUGCAUUUCCGUUGUGUAACUAGAAUACCUUUAGCUGUUCUAGCUACCUCCAUUCCCAAAAAAUAACGUAGUGGUCCAAGAUCCUUGAUUUCAAACUCACCAGCUAAUUUUUCUUUUAAUCCUUCCAGCUCUUCUUUGUCAUCUCCUGUUAGUAUAAUGUCAUUAACAUACACGAUCAAAAUAGCUAACUUCCCUUCUUUAGACCGUUUGUAGAACAUAGUAUGAUCGGCUUGCCCUUAAGAAUAACCAUAGUUCUUCAAGACUUUCCAAAUCGAUCGAACCAAGCCCUAGGGGACUGUUUAAGGCCAUAGAGAGACCUUUUUAACCGACAAACUCUUCCAGCAGGUCCUUUUUCUUCAAAACCAGGCGGCAUAUCCAUGUAAACUUCCUCUUCCAAUUCUCCAUUCAAGAAUGCAUUCUUGAUAUCAAGUUGGUUGAGAGGCCAAUCUAAAUUUGCAGCAAGAGAGAGAAGGAUCCUUACAGUAUUAAGCUUUGCCACUGGAGCAAAAGUUUCUAGAUAGUCCACCCCAUAGGUUUGUGUGAAACCUUUCGCCACGAGUCUUGCUUUAUACCUGUCCACACUUCCAUCAACCUUAAAUUUGACUGUAAAUACCCACUUGCACCCCACAGUCCUCUUGUCUUUAGGUCUUGGUACAAGCUUCCAUGUGUUAUUCUUUAUUAAGGCUGCCAUUUCUUCUUAAACAGUUUUCUUCCACUCAUUUGACUCUAGGGCUUCAUGGAUGUUUCUUGGAAUAGUGGUAUUAGAUAGACUGGCCACAAAAUUCCUAUACUCCUUAGAUAGAUUUGCAUAUGACAAGAACUUGUUGAUAGGAUGUUUAGUGCAAUUUCUUACCCCUUUCCUUAUCGCAAUAGGCAAAUCUGUGGACUUCUGAGCUUCGUUCUCAGCAUAUUCAGUAGGUGGGUUUUGAUCCUCCCUUAGUUCAGAUCUCGGUUCUGCUUGGUCUAUAAGUGGCUGUACCUCUUGAGUUUUAUUCUUCUUUCGUGAAUAGACAUGAAACUCGCCUAUAGGUUCCUCCAAAUGUGAAUUGGUUUUUAUUCCUUCAUUCCUUGGUGACACUAUUGGUUGAUUAAGUUCUAUGGUGUUAGGUAGGUUAGGAUGAAUGUCUGGACUGAGGAAGGAGGUAUUUGGUAGAUUGAGUUCUAGGCUGGAAUUACUGGACAUAUUAGGUUCUAGGCUGGAACAUCUGGACAUAUUGGGUUCUAGGCUGGAACUACUGGACAUAUUGGGUUCUAGGCUGAAAUUACUAGGCAUCUUAGGUUCUAAAAUGCCAAGAAGAUCCCAGGAAUUAUCUUCUCUCAAAUUCUGCCCCUGAAGAGAAUUACUCGUGUAAAAAGGCUGAUUUCAAAGAACUUGACAUCCAUUGUGACGAAUAAUUUUUUGGUAAGAGGAUUAUAACACUUGAACCCUUUCUUGGUAGGAGAAUAUCCUAGAAAUAGGCACUUGAUGGCUCUAGGAGACAACUUUGUUCUUUGAAGACUCGGAAGAUAUACAAAGGCUGUACAACCAAAAGUUUUGAGUGCAAAAUUAGAGGUAACAAGGUGAUUUUGUGGGUAGCUGUCAAGAAAAACAAAAAUAGGUGUCUUGAAUUUAAGAACUCGAGAGGGCAUACGAUUUAUGAGAUAAGAUGCUGUAAGAAUGGCCUCUCCCCAAUAUAUUUUUGGUACAUUAGUUGUGAACAUAAUGACCCUAGCAACCUCUAAAAGGUGUCUGUUUUACGUUCUGCAACCCCAUUUUGUUGUGGUGUUUCGGAACAAGAACUUUGGUGGACAAUUCCUUGUUGUGAUAGGUAAUUCCCUAAAAUAGAAUUGAAAUACUCAGUUCCAUUAUCUGUACGGAGUACACGAUUUUCAGUUUGAAACUGAGUUUUUACCAUGACAUGGAAUUGUUUAAAAGUUUGUCCAGCUUCAGAUUUUUCCUUCAAAAGGUACACCCAAGUGGUCCUAGAGUGGUCAUCUAUGAAUGUUAUGAACCAUUUUGCUUUUGACAGGUUGUUAACCCUUGAGGGGCCCCAAAUAUCACUAUGAAUCAAAGAGAAAGGCUGGGAUGGUUUAUAAGUACGGGUAGGAAAUGAAACACGUGUUUGUUUAGCCAUUUAACAAAAGUCACAAUAUAAUAAACUCAAAUUUUGAUUUUUAAAUAAGGAAGGAAACAAGGUUUUUAGAUAUGGAAAGCUAGGGUGGCCUAACCUAUAGUGCCACAACAUUAUUUCAGAAGAAACAAAUUCACAUUGAGAGACCUGAGCAUGUCCUUUCACGAGUCUUUUAUUCUCGAGAUAGUACAGUCCCUCAUAUUCCUUUGCAUUCCUAGUCAUCCUCCCCAAGAUUGGAUCCUGAAAUAGACAUUUAGAACCACAGAAUUUAGCUACACAGUUUGUGUCUUUAGUAAGUUUACUAACUGAAAGAAGAUUGCAUUUAAGAUUUGGGACAUGUAAAACUGAAAAAGAGUCAAACAAUUUGAUAGUUUUACUGUUCCUUUUCCAGCAACAGUGGAUAAUGAUCCAUCAGCAAUCCUCACUUUAUAAUUACCUGGACAUGGAGUGUAACUAGAGAAAAAUUGAGAAGACCCUGUCAUAUGGUCUGAGGUCCCUGAAUCAACAAUCCAAGAACCUUUUUCAAGGGAUUGGAUGCUAAGGGCUGAUGGGUUACCUGUAUGGACUGCAUUACAACUAGAGGAGGUCAAGUCAUUUUUAUUUGCUUGCUGAUUUUGUAUAAGGAGCUGUUGCAGCAUCUCAAAUUGAUCUUUUGCGAGGGCAAACUGAUUAGUUUUCUCUGUCACCAUUCCCUUUGCUUCUUGCUGCCGUUUUGGUUUCCAAUCUGCUGGCUUUCCAUGAAGCCUCCAGCAUGAGUCUCGAGUAUGCCCUUUCUUGUGACAAUAGUCGCAAUAGGGACGUUCUCCAUGUUUUUGUCCCUUUUGGUUAGCUGACUGAUCUGUCUUUUUGGUCACCAGCGCUGAUCUCUCCGCCUCAGGUUCCUUCACCAGUCCCAUCAUGACUCUCUUUCGACUUUCUUCACGCCCCACCUCAACAAAAGCUUCUCGGAUGGAGGGUAGAGGAUUCUUUCCUAAUAUUCUGCCACGAACUUCAUCAAGUUCUUUGUUGAGUCCAUAAAGGAAAUCAAAGAGACGUUCUUUAUCCAACAUCCUCUUAUUUUGAUGGCAUCCUCAGAGCAAUGCCAUUGCGAUUCAUAGUAAAGGUCAAGUUCAUGCCAUAUAUUGUUUAGAGAAUUGAAAUAUUGAGUCACUGAAAGACUCCCUUGCUUUUGGUCACGUAAUUGUGACUUGAUUUCAAAGAGCUGAGCUGCAUUCCCCAGGUCAGAGUAAGUUUCUGUCACGGCUUCCCAAAGCUCCUUCGCAGAUGGUAGGAAGAGAUAAGUCCUACCAAUAUCCACGUCCAUCGAGUUGAUCAACCAAGUUUGCACCAUUGAAUUUUCAGCAUCCCACUGUGGAUAACCUGGAUCCAAGACAUCAGGGGCUUUGGUUUCCCCUGUAAUAUACCCUAAUCGGCCUUUGCCACGAAGAAAUAGGGUGACAGAUUGAGACCAUUGCAAAAAGUUUCUGCCAUUUAACUUGUGCAAAGUUAUUUGCAAAGAGGGGUUUUCGGUACCUAAGGAGACCGAAGAGAUGUCCUGCCUUGUUACAGAACUGGAGGAAAUCUCAGAUUCUUGUGUAGGGUUUGUUGUCUUCUCCAUUGGAUGGGUUGAGAGUUUAGAAUGAGAAAAAAAUUCAGAGGCUUAGUUUAAAAGAGUUGCUCUGAUACCAUGUGAAAAAUCAGACUUCUUCACUUGUAUUACAUUAGAGAAGAAUACAUAUUUAUAUACAUUACACCCUAGGAAUAAAAUGGUAAAAGAAAAAAAAGCUAAGAUAUUGCAAAUCAAUAUCCCUGAAAAUUAGGGAUUAUAUAUCCUAAAAUCUAGUAUUUAAGUCAACACAUAGCUGUAAAAUACAGCUAACAUCUACAACAAUAGUCAACACACAGCUGUAAAAUACAGCUGACAUCUGCAACAAAGAUAAUUGUGGUGAUGAUGAUGAUGUUGAUGGAGAAGAUGAAAUUGACAUGAUUGAUGAUGAAGUAACGAAGAAUUUGUAAAACACACACACACACACACACAGAGAGAGAGAGAGAGAGAGAGAGAGAGAGAGAGAGAGAGAGAGAGAGAGAGAGGAGAAGAGGAUAAAAAAAAAGAUAGAGAAAAACAGGAGAGAAAAUAAUAACAAAAACAAAAGAGGAAAAUAAUUAUUAUUGUUAUUAUUAUUAUUAACAAUAACUUUCUUAAUAACCAUAAUCAUAUAAUAGAUAAUAAAAAUAGAAGGUAAUAAUAACUAAGGGUAUUUUAAUAAUUUAAAUAAUUUAUUGUAAUUUCAAGGUAAAGUAAAUAUAUUAAUGAUAAUACAGUUUAUUUUAAUUUUGAUUCUUAUAAUUGAAGUAAAUAAUUUAUUUUAAUUUUUAUUUCACAUUUUAAUUUUAUUCUAUUCUGAAUUAGUAAACGCAUCAUAAAAUCAUGUGAUUCUACUCUAUAUGUGAGAUUGAUUUUUUUCUUUAAGGCCUACGACAUCCCAAUACAAGUCUAUAUAGGACCAAGCUACUAAGUGGACGGUCAUAAAAACUUAAAAAGGCAUAAAAUUGGAUGGCCGUCUAAUUAAUUUCCCGUGACCUACAACAAAAAUUUAAGAAGGAACUCCGAUACCAUCAAUUCUGCAUUUUAAUUUGAAGUUGGAAAACAGUGAAAACAGAAGGAUCGGGUGAUUUAAUUUUAUACAUAUUUAAUCAAGUAAAAAUGGCACGUGCGUUGUAAUUUGCCCAGUUAUCUUACUUUGAAUAAUAACAAAGUUCAAAUUUUGUAUUCAGUGAAAAAUCAAUUCUAUAGUGAAAAACACUAGCUAGAAAAAAAUCUAUGUCCUGAUGUCUUAGUUUAUAAGCUCAAACAAUGAAUAGUAUACAUACAACGCAUGAUAGAACACAAACUCAUAUAGAUUUUUAGUUUUGAAAUUCAUUUCAGAAAAUCUGUUCUGUUCAACAGGUUAUAGAUUAUCAACUAAACUCUGCCCACAUUCUUAGCUCUGCCAUUGGAAGUACGCAACUCAGCUGCCCAUCGACCGCCAAGCCAUCAAGACAAUACCAAGAUACAACAUCAAUAAUAAUAACAUCAAGAAUUACAUAGAGGCCGUCGCACGUUACACCCACUCCAACAGGAAACUAAUUAAUACCCUCCAAGCUCCUCUGUUUCAAAUCCAAAUCCACUGCUCGACCAUUUACUAUGACGUAAGGUAUAUGGAUUAAUUAACAAGUGCCGAUAUUGUCCUCCAUCCUUUUGUGUACCUUUCUUCUGGCAAGGCCUUUUCUGGAAAGUAUUUGAGCUCCAGACAAUUGCAGAAUUUCAAUUUGCUGAGGUUUUGAUGAUCAGCAAUUGAAGAAGACAGGUGUUAAUAAUUAUGAAGAACUGGUGUAAUUUAUAUCAUGUAGGAAGCCCUUCAGUUACUUUUUUGACCGUGCUCAAGCUCUUUUAAGGGCUAAUAUUAAAAUUUCGUGAUAUUGUGCCAAAAGAGCUUCGUACGUCAUUGUAAACUGUUCAUCGUUAUGUGCUGCUUCCCCAUUUAAUUACAUUUAUUUAACAUUUUAAAGAUGGAAGUAGAAAUUAAAACUCAGUUUUUCAGAUAUGGCUCAUAUACAAUGCAAGUAUCAAGAUUUAAUUAGAGUUCAAUAUACAUGCGUCUAGUUUUUAUUGAGAGAAACAAAUCAUAAAUACUCAGGUGUUUCUAAAUGAUUGAAUAACGAUAUUAUUGUUAUUUAUAAAUUUAUAAGGAUAAAUAACUAAUAGUCCACCAUAAAUACCGAAAAGGGUCCCCAGCAUAACUUGAACAACUUUACUUGUGUUUGCUCAUUGAAUAAUGUUAUAAGAAAGAAAUACAUAUGUCAGAAGAUUCAUAGUAUAUUGGAGUGUUUUUUGUACUUGAAUGAGAAUGAAUGAAGGUAUGUUAAUUUACUUUAAAUAAUUGUCUAAAAGGAAUAGAAAUGCUCUAUAACAUACCAAAUACUACCUUAAUCAAAAUUUAUUUGACAAAAAUUUUUAAAAAAUGGAAUAAUUAACCCUAAUUAAAUAAUUGUCUUAUAUCACCAAACUCUUUUUUUUUUAAUUAAGCCAUCACCAAACUCUGUAAAGCAUAAAAUAUAAUAGGCAAAUUUGAGUUAAAAAAAAAUGAAGUUAGGAAAAUGACUUGCAUAUUGUCUUUGAUGAGCGCAUAAUUUUCUUUUAAAAAAAAUGUUGAAAUGAACUCAAACUCGUUAGUGCAACUUGUCGGUUUUAAGUUGUAGAUACGAGUGACAUGUCAUUUUAGCUGAACUAGAUUCCAGAGCUCACAUUUGGGCAGUGUCAUCCAAGAACAUUAAAACUCACGUGACUAUUGCACGCAUGGUUUAAGCUGAAAUGACGUUGCUAGCAGUCGUUUAAGGAAGGCCUUUAAGUGUCACAUGAGUUGCUCGUGAUAGGAGGUUAAAAGCUGUUGGUUUUGGAGGGAAACCCCUGAAGCUGUUACGCCUGCAUCUUCUGGUAUAUAAACGAGCUGGUUCUGGUGUCAUAGUCAGUAAUCAAGGAAAGAGAGAUAAAGCAUCUGUACUGAGAGAAAAUCUUGACAGGGUGGUCUCUGUAUUGUGUAUAAUUUCUCUAUAACCUUGGAAGCUUAAUAAAACUGCUCUCUGUGUUGGUUUUCUCCAGUGGAUGUAGGCACCCUUCAACAGGUGCUGAACCACUUAAGCUCGGUGUGUUCUUUGUCUUUGGGUUAUGAUCUUUGAUCUGUGCAUUGUUCUUUGUUAACGUAAGAUUAGUUCUUGAAUCUUUGAGUCAGAGUUGGGUCUUGGGGUAAGGUUAAUCUAGUAACUAAAGGUUAAUUUCACAACAAUUGGUAUCAGAGCUCUAAACUCUGAUUUCAAGGUUCAAGAAUGGGUUCAAAAGUGGAUCUUGAGAAGUUUACGGGGCAGAAUGAUUUCAAUAUGUGGAAGAUCAAGAUGGAGGCUUUGUUGAUUACUCAAGAGCUGGGAGAAGCCAUAGAUCCAGUCACUAAGAUUGAAGAAGGUGAGGCUUCAUCAUCUAAGAUCCCAGAACAGGUAGCAGAGAUAGACAAGAAAGCCAGGAGCACAAUCAUACUAAGUCUUGGUGACUCUGUAAUUCGAGAAGUGGCCAAGGAAAGGACUGUUGCUGGUUUAUGGGCUAAGUUGGAGAACUUGUAUAUGACAAAGUCUUUGGCAAAUAGACUUUACAUUAAGAAGAAGAUGUUCUCACUGAAGAUGAUUGAAGGGGCAUCAUUAACAGAACAUGUUGAUGAAUUCAAUAAGGUUUGUGAUGAACUGGAGACUAUAGAUGAAGGGCUGAGUGAUGAGAGCAAAGCCUUGCUACUAAUCAGCUCUUUACCAAAGUCUUACGAGCACUUUGUGGAUGCACUGCUGUAUGAGAGGCAAACACUCUCCCUAGAAGAGGUUAAAUCUGCUCUUGGCACAAAGAAGCUGAAAGAUAAGCAAGAUAAUCCAGAAAGUGAAUCAAGUGAGGGAUUGAUGGCAAGAGGCAGGUCUGAGAAAAGAGAUAACAAUGAAAAAAGCAAGGCAGAUCAAAGUCUAAACAAAAGAAUUUGAAGUGUUUUCAUUGCCAUAAAGAAGGGCAUUUCAAGAGAGAUUGCCCUGAAAGAAAGAACAAGAAUAAAGAAACCAAAGAAAGAACAGGUAAUGCAGCCAUAGCCACAGAAGAAGAAUGUAACUUUGAAACAGCCGGAGUACUCAUUGCCACAAGUCAGAAACCUCAAGGUCAGUGGGUCCUUAACUCAGGUUGUACCUUUCAUAUGUGUCCAAAUAGGAGUUAUUUUACAACAUAUCAGCCAUGUGAUGGGGGUAUGGUUCUAAUGGGUAAUAACUCAAUGUGUAAGGUAGCUGGUAUUGGGACUGUUAGCCUUAGGAUGUUUGAUGGGGUGAUAAGGGAAUUGACACAAGUGAGAUUUGUCCCUGAUCUAAAAAGGAACUUAAUCUCAAUUGGCAUGCUAGAUCAAACAGGUUGUGUAAUUAAGGCUGAGAAAUGUGUAUUGAGGGUAAUUAAAGGAUCAAUGGUGAUCAUGAAAGGCAUAAAACAAAAUGGUCUAUAUGUGAUGGAUGGACAUACUGUUGUUGGGGAGGCAAGUGUGACUGACAGUAAAUGGAACAGAUCAAUGAUGUGGCAUUUAAGGAUGGGGCAUAUGAGUGAAAGAGGUUUGAGAGAGUUACAAAAACAAGGAGUGUUUGGGGAUGAUCAAAUAGGAGCUUUGGGGUUCUGUGAGGAUUGUAUUCUAGGAAAAUCCUCCAGGUUAAGGUUUGAGAUUGCAGCUCAUACCACCAAAGAGAAGCUUGAAUACAUACACUCUGAUUUGUGGGGGCCUGUACAAGUAAACUCACUAGGUGGAUGUAGAUAUUUUCUGACUUUUAUAGAUGAUUUUUCAAGGAUGGUUUGGGUCUUUGCACUCAAAAGCAAAGAUGAGGUUCUGGAAAAAUUCAAAAACUGGAAAACUUUUGUUGAGAACCAGACUGGUCUGAAGGUGAAAACUCUGAGGACAGACAAUGGCUUGGAGUAUUGCAACAAGCUGUUUGAAGAAUUCUGUGAAAAGAAUGGUAUUCAGAGGCACAAAACUGUCACCUACACCCCUUAACAGAAUGGCCUUGCUGAGAGGAUGAAUAGGACUCUGGUGGAGAAGGUGAGAUGCAUGUUAAUCUAUUCUAAGCUCCCAAAAACCCUUUGGGCAGAAGCUUUAAACACAGCAUGCUAUCUAGUCAACAGGAGCCCAUCAACUGCUAUAGAUUGUAAAACACCAAUGGAGCUUUGGUCAGGAAGAAGGGCUGACUAUACAAAACUCUGAAUCUUUGGGUGCACAACAUAUGCUCAUGUGAAGUAGGGUAAGCUGGAACCAAGGGCAUUAAAAUGCAGAUUUCUGGGGUAUCCGGAUGGGGUCAAGGGCUAUAGAUUAUAGUGUGUUGACACAAAACCACCACAGUGCAUCAUAAGCAGGGAUGUAAAAUUCCAUGAAGAAGAGCUAUUGAAUAAACCAAAGAGCUCAGAUAACAAUAUGGAAUCAAGCACUGAGACUGAUAUAGUGAAGUUUCAGGUGGAGCCUCAAAACUUGAAAGAACUUGAGCCUGAAAUUGAAGGUACUGAAGCAGAACCUGAAGCUGGUGUUGAACAUGAAUCAGCUGAAAGUGAAGAGAACACCUAUCAGUUGGCUAGAGACAGAAAGAAAAGGACAAUAAAGCCACCUAAAAGAUAUGCAGUAGUUGACUUGAUUGCAUAUGCUUUGAAUGUUGCUCAAGAGCUGAAUGAUGAUGAACCUAGGACCUAUCAAGAAGCUAUCACAGGCAAAAACAAGCUGGAAUGGAAGAGGGCAAUGGAUGAAGAGAUGACAUCCCUGAUUAAAAACAAGACCUGGACAUUGAUUGAAAAACCAGACAAGAGGAAAACAGCAAGCUGCAAAUGGAUCUUCAAAAUUAAAAAUGGUGUACCUGGAGCUGAACCUAGAAGAUUUAAAGCUAGAUUGGUGGCAAGGGGUUUUACACAGAAGGAGGGAAUUGACUUCACUGAAGUAUUUUCUCCUGUGGUGAGACAUGCUUCCAUCAGAGUUAUUCUUGCACUUGUGGCUGUGCAAGAUAUGCAUCUUGAGCAGAUGGAUGUAAAAACAACAUUUCUGCAUGGUGAGUUACAAAAAGAAAUUGUAAUGCAGCAGCCUGAAGGAUAUGUAGCAUCUGGAAAAGAAGACUAUGUUUGCUUACUUAAGAAGUCUCUGUAUGGGUUGAAGCAGUCACAUAGGCAAUGGUAUCUGAGUUUCAGAUAUUUUUGACAUGUCGGUUUAUAACCUUGAUUGUGCAUGCCCUGUCGGUUGCGUGAUGAAACAGGAGAAUAUUGACAUCUGUGUAUUAUCGUUUACUUCCUGCAAUUAAAUCACAUGUUGUUCAUUCCAUUUACACUAUACGGCACAUUUGGCAGUUGUUUUGGUCACUUAUUGAAGCACGGGUUAAGUACUUGAUUCAAGGUUGUUAACUGACCUUUACAAGGCGGGAAAAUUCUGGGUUUGUUAUAACAAACCCCGGAAUGCAGCUAGUGAGUGGGGACUUUUCUAGACUCUUCAUGAUAUGUAUAUAUAGUCUUAGAGGCUAUAGUUGAGACAUAUGAAAAGCUUCUUAAUGUUUGUAGUUUGAUCUCGGUGAUGGAGAUAAGAUUGCUGCCCUGUUCUUCAGUGGAUAUAGGCUAUCUCCAAGCCGAACCACUUAAAUUGUGCCUCUGUUUUGCUUGAUGACUACCAGUGGUGAGAAAACACCUACAGAACAAAUCAAGCUUGAUGACUCAAAUAUUAGGGAAGCCAUAGUCAAGGUAUCUGGUUUAUGCAUCAACAGUGGUUCGUGGACUAGAAUUCCUAUCUAUUGUCGCUUCACAAUUGCACUGGAAGAAAGCGAAUUUGAUCGAGCUUUGGAUCGCAUAGCUAAAUUCAAAAGCAUCGUACAAAUAGUUAACUAAAAGACGGUAUUGUCAUUUGUCAUGAUUUAUUUCUAUUGCCUGAUGAUGAUACCCAUCACGCCUUAGUUGUCGUGAAUAAAUCUAAAAUCAAAUUGAACUGGUUUUUACUGGUUAGCAACAAUUGUGACGUUUUGAGAUUAUAAUAUAUGACAACACUGAUUAGUGUUGUCUCCCAUGUGAAUUGAGACAAAAAUUAUUUUCCCAAUUGCGCUUUCAUUUGAACAAUUCCACUGUAGAUUUAUAAAAUAAUGAUCAAAUUGUGUUUUAUAUUAAGUUACGAGUAAUUGGUUAAACAUUAAUACAAAACUAUUUUAAGUAACAUGUGGCAUAUUCUAAUUCUAGCCAAGCUUCCAACUAAGAUUCCCAAAUCAAAAGAAUUUCAAUCUUCAGAACAUUCUGCAAAACGUUUAGUCUCUACGCAGUGCUAGAAUUUUCCCUAAGUUUCUAUUGCAAAGACUUCUAAAGAACUAUUCAGAUAUCGAGCUAUAAUCCAGUCUAAAGUGCAUAUAUCUCUCUAAUUCACCUCCCUCCAUUUCACCAGAAAAUCAAUAAACACUUAGCUUCAAACAAACACUCUCAAAAAGCUAGCUAGCUAUCCAGAUGGAAAAACCAAGAAUUCUUGCAAUGACAAUGUUGUUUCUUGUUAUGGCAGCAACAUUGAUAAACAUGGCAUCACAAGCAAUAGCUCUGAUGCCGUACACACAAUCACCUUUCUUUGACAUGAUGUUCCCAAUGACGGAAGAGCCUUUCAGGGUUCUUGAACAAACCCCUUUAACAAUCGCAAAAGGAGCUGAUCAUCAUCAAACUCUAGCCCUGGCGAGAGCAGACUGGAUGGAGACACCAACAGCCCACGUGAUCACGCUCGACAUUCCAGGGAUGAAGAAAGAUAAUAUGAAGAUUGAAGUUGAAGAGAACAGAGUACUGAGAGUGAGUGGGGAGAGGAAGAGUAAUGAUUAUUAUAAGGAGGGAGUUGAAGGAGAGAAAUGGCACAAAGCUGAGAGGACAUUUGGCAAGUUUUGGAGGCAGUUUAGGAUGCCAAUGAGUGUUGACUUGGAACAUGUUAAGGCUCACAUGAAAAAUGGGAUUCUGAGGGUCACAGUGCCAAAGCUUGCUGAGGAGAAGAAGAGGCAGCCUAAGGUUAUUAACAUUGAUGAAGAGUCUGGUAAUUCUUCCAAUGAAGAUAUUAAGGCUACCAAGGCUCAAAUGUAAUUAAUUAAAGAAAGAAGUGAUUGCUUUGCUUGAUGUGCUAUUUGUUUAUGAUCUUUUUUUGGUUUUGUUCCGAGAUGUUUCUAUUUGGAUGCUCUAUUUAAUGUAUGUUGAUGGGUUUUUGAGGAAGGCUUGUAUGUAUUGACAACCAUAAAAUACUUUUUAUAAAUCCUAGUCCUACAACACUAAAAGAAAACAAUACGUUUGGUUUAUAGUUAAUAAAAAUAUAUUUUUUUAAAAAAUUCUUUUUCUUUGGCAUAUAGUAUGCGUUUUGAGGGGAAAAAAAUUUAUCCCACUCCUAAUUUGUCAUCUGUGAUAUUAAUGUGUUAGCACGAAGAUUCAUUGUAAUUGCAACAAUUUUGAUGAAUCCAAACGUUCAAUAACUGUUAAAUUGUAUUUUAUAAAUACUAAUAGCGAAGGUACAGAAACGAUUAAUCCAAGAAGUUGCUUAAAGUGCAUUAAAUUAGGGAGUAUAAAUAAUUGUGUGAUACAGUCCAGCCUUUAUCUGCUUAUAAUUAGCAACCAAAAACCAUUUGCAACGCCAUUAAAAAAACAUUUUAACAUUAUUGCUGAGGGAAGAGGCAGCUUAGGCUUAUUAACUCGUAUUAUUAAUGCUGAUGACGCAGCUGGUAAUCCUUUUGGUGAAUAUAAUAAGGUAGCUGAAGCUUAUAAUUAUUUAAGCCCACUAAAGCUUAAAACUAAUUCUUCUAGUGACGAUGCUUUGCUUAGUUUGCUUUUUGUUUUUAAUUUUUUUGGGGCUAACAUUUUGCUUAUUUUGCUUUUAAAAUUCUAUUCGCGUUGCUGUGAAAUAUUGUUUGUCCUUCCAUUUUCUGUUUUUGUUGUUAUCGGAUUUGAUGAUGGUUUAUAUGUACGAAGAUUAUGUAAUAAAGUCUUUUUCUUUGGCCUUUAUUAUGCAUUUUAAUACGAAAAAAAAUUAUCCCACUCCAAUUCAUGAAGAUAUUCUCAUUUCUGUCAUAUUGAUGUGUUAAUAUAAAGAUCCAUUGCAGUUGGUGAAUUCAAAUAUUCAGUAACUGAUGAAAUUGUAUUUAUAAAUUCAUAGUAAUAGCAAUUGAAGAUUAUAAUUAAUUUUGUAAUAUGGUCAAGCCCUCGUGUGUUUAAUUAGCACUCAAAAACCACUUUACAAUAGUCAUUAAAAGAACAUUAUAACGUCAUUACUGAUGAGUUCUGGUGAAGAUAUUAAGUUAAGGCCACAAAAAUCGAAAUGUACGUGGCUUCGUUUGUUUUUUGUUUUGAUUUUUUUUGGGGGCAAAUGCUUGGCUUCGUUUUUGAUAUUUUAUUGGCUUUAUUGUGUGGCAUGUUCUUGUUUUCUUUUGAUUUUCUGUUUUUGUUUGUUAUGGGAUUUGAUGACGAUGUACAUGUACGAAGAUUAUGUAAUAAAAUGCUUUUGAUAAAUUGUGGUCGGUUUAGUAUUAAUUAACCAAAUUUAAUUUACUUGAUCAAUUGAUAUUUGUUAGUAUUGUUGUUAUACAAGCACAACAAAAGAAGAACACUAACGUACUAAUUAAUUACUAAUAAGAACAUUAACAAUUUUUGCCGAAGUCUGAUGAAGAGAAAUAUUACACAUACGUAACGGUACCGCGGAAGGAAAAAAUAAAAGAAACUGAAGUUUAUUUCAACAGCUACUCUUUCUUUACCUAAAUCCUGCACCUCUCAUACUACCAACAAGAUCGAAAACCUUAUCGAAUACUCCUACAUCCCAGACUCUGCCCAAAUCAGUGAAUCCACAUACCUCCAAUACAGUACCCCGUUGCUAAAAUAAAGCGAGCGUCUUACUCUACCUAACAUUUUUCUUUUUAUUAAUUUAAAACAGUUUUCAACUGAGAUUGGAAUUUUAAAAUUACGUACACAAACAUACCUGAUUUUAAAGAAAAAAAAUUCUAAUAAUAAAAUAUUUUACAUAUGUAACCAUACGGCGGAAGAACAAAUAUAAGAAACUGAAGUUUCAACAGCUGAGAAUGAGAUAAGCAUAAGAAAUUAAUUCAUUAAUUAAUUAAUAGAGUCCUCCUCCUUUGCUAAAUAAUGCGAGCCCAUUGUUCUUUUUAUUUCGAAAACCCAUUAAUCACCAACACAUAAUAUACGCCCAAUUUAAAAAAAAGAAACUAAUAAUAAAAUAUUUCAGUCCCUCUGUUGAGUCGUCCUCUGUGGAGUCGUCAUCAAAAACCCAUUUACUAGCUAUUUCAACAUAAGGUAAAUGGGUUAACAAGGCCCAAUAUUGUCCUCCAUCCUCUCUGCACUUCUCUUCUAUCAACGGACAAUCAUAGAUACUUAAUUUCAAAAGUGAGGAAGGCAGGCCCUUCUCCGGAAAGUAUUUGAGCUUGGGACAAUUCUUGAGAUACAAUGAAGUGAGGUUUUGAAGAUCAACAAUUGAAGAAGAUAGGCGUUCCAAAUUUGGAAAAUUGUAAAUCUCCAGAGACGUUAGAGAGGCAAGAAGAGGAAGCGCAGCCCCUAAUCUUUUGUCCUCUAGUGGAAUUGACACCAUGUCGUCAUCGCAUUCGCUGAUUUUAAAAUGUCGCAGAGAGGAGAAUCUGUGAAAUCCCCGGCCCCGCUCAAUCAUUGACUUCCAAAUCUCCAUAUUACCCCUGAUAUCAAGUGAAUGAAGGUUGGUGGGAAGGCCAUCUUCUUCAAGGCUUGGAAGCUCAACUCCUCUUCCUAUUGUUAAUUCUUGAAGAGAGGUCAGAUUGUGCAAUCCCUUGGGUAAGGCCUCUAGUCCCUUGCACCAACUGAUAUUGAACUUUAUUAGUUUCGCACAAGGCAAUCCCCCUUCGGGAAAGGACACCAGAUUUUUACAUUCCCAUAUUUCGAUCUCUUGAAGCUGGCGGAGAUUAUGUAAACCACUCGGUAAAAUCUUUAGAUUUUUACAAAAAUCAAUUCUGAUUAUUUCAAGCGAUGUGUUGUUGUCCAACCUUUCUGCUAUUGACUCCAGCUUUGAACAACUAAGAACUUCAAGGGACUUAAGAGACGGAGGUAGAUUGCCAACUUCAAGGGACUCAAGCGUGGCAGGUAACUCGUUUUUUGAAAAUAUACAUGUCAGAGAUGGACAUUCGCUAAUAUGCAAGCCCUCGAGAAGAGAUGAGGUGUACCUUCUGCUGCUGCUGCUGCUGCUACUCUGGAUGCCCUCUUCCACUGUCAAAGUCCUUAGAUUAUCACAAUUAUGGAUGUACAACAUCUUAAGGCUCGGUGGUAGCUGGACUCCAGCAAUAUAUGUCAACGAACGGCAACUCAAAAUCUCCAAGAUCUCGAGAGAUGAAUUGGUGUCGCACAUCCAUGCCUCUGGUAACAAUUUCAGUGCAUCACAAGAACUAAUAUGAAUUGUCUUCAACUUGGAAGGCAGAGCAACCUCAGGAAAGGAAACAAGGGAACUGCAUUGGUAGAUUUCUAUCUCUCUCAAGGAGCUAAGGCUGAGCGAUGAUUGUGGCAGCUUCACAAGGUCUUGGCAAUCUCUCAAUUCUAUAUAUUCGAGUCUGCAUGACAACUCGCAGAGCUGCUGUUGUUGGUCUUUCUCUUCCUCCGCCACCAAGGAUUGAAGUUUGGGACAGCUGCCAAUCGUCAAUCUUUUGAGAGAGCAAAUGUCUUGUAGUAAUCCAUCAUGACUCUUCCAUAUAUAUGUUUGCUCUUUUGUCGACAAAAUUAAUUCUUCCAAUUUCUGUAGUUGUGGUUUCAAUGGCCCCACAAGAAACACUUGAUUUGAUGCAUCUCUACAAACCACUGAAUUCUGUGAUCCGAGAUGACCAGUUGCACUUUCCCACACAACCUUUUUGCAUCCACCAAUUUCCAAUUUGCAAAGAGCUGGAAGACUCGAAACUGAAACUAACAAUUCUUCACAUCCUUCAAUAACAAGCAUCUCCAAUGCAGGAAGGUGCUCUGGAAAUGUUCCUUUCAGUUUAGAACAUUUUAAAAUGUGAAGUUCUCUCAAUUUAGGAAACCCUUCAACUCCUUGACUGGAUCCAUGAGGAAUCCAAUCUUCCCAUUCUUGCAUGUUUUCAAAAAGAAGAGUCUUCAAGCAUGGAAAUGGAAUUGGAGAAACAUUCCCAUAGAACUCUGAACCCAACCUCUUUACUCUGCUCAUUCCACAUACUACAAGAUGCUUUAAAGAGGGUAGUUGCCCGACUGACGGCAGGGCAGUACACAUGUCACAAUUUUUAAAUUUUAGGGUCACCAAAUUUGAGAAUGAGGAAUCUCCCAACCAAGUUGGAAAUUUCAUACCUCCAUAGCCUUUGAUACAAAAUUGCUCCAGAUU
rnacentral:lncRNA from 1 species